ACAAAAGGACGAUCGCAUUGUGGUUCACUUCUCGUGGUUGACCGGUCAACUGUUGAUCGCUAGCUCCUUUUCCUUCGUGCAUCUUUUGUUCCUUCGUUGUUUUUUUCUUUUUUUUAUGUUGCUUUGUUCACAAAUCUCAAGAACACAUGGAUCUGAAAAAAUUACGAAUUUCAAGAACAGUUCACUAAUUUGAAAAGGUUCAUCAAUUCUAAAAAAAGUUAAUCAAAAUUUGAACACAAAAAUUGAGAAAAGUUCAUCUAAGUUGAAAAAAAGUUCAUCGGAUUUGAAAAAAGUUCAUUGGAUUUGAAAAAAAGUUCAUUGGAUUUGAAAAAAGUUCAUCAGAUUUAAAAAAAAGUUCAUCGGAUUUGAAAAAAGUUCAUCGGAUUUGAAGAAAAGUUCAUCGGAUUUGAAAAAGUUCGUCGAAUUUGACGAAAAGUUCAUCGAGUUUGACAAAAAGUUCAUCGAGUUUGACAAAAAGUUCAUCGAGUUUGAAAAAAAGUUCAUCAAAUUGAAAAAAAGUUCACCGAUUUUGAAAAAAGUUCAUCGAAUUUGAAAAAAGUUCACCGGUUUUUUUGGUCGCCUUUGAAAAAGUUCACGAAUUUUAAGAAAGAGAAAAAACAAAGAUAGAAAAAAAGAAAGAAAACUGGAAAAACAGAUGCCUUUUUCUCGUUUUAUAAAGAAAAGAAAAAGAACGAUUCUACCACAUGAGGUCAACUAGUCCAACUGGUUGGUGCGAUCGCUAGCUAAACGAACGGGCGGGGUUUGAGUCGCGGCAGGCGCACCUUUUUUGGGGGUUUUCAAGAAACAAACAGCAAAGCGGGAUGGACCGGCCCGCUAUGAAACCAAGUGUAAACGGGGGUGUGCGCCUUGUACAAAAUGGCCUGUAUUCGGCGCUUAAGGCGCCGAAUAGGAUUCAGCAACGGUGGAGGUUUCUGGAGAUGAGGUAAGGGGCAGCGGCGGAUCUUCCUUAAGGCCAAACUGGGCUGUGGCCCACCCAGGAUUUGUGCUCUUUUAUUUUACCUAUGCAUCGGAAGCCAACCCAGCCCAUCACCUGCAGUACUAAGCUGCGGGUUUAGAUGAUCAGUCCAAGCCUGGAUGCUCUCUCCUCAUGGAAACUGAUGACAUGUAUGUAGCAGUACCAGAUUCAACGAGCACUGCUGGCUGCUGAGCCACAUAUGUACUUUUCUUUUCUCCUAAAAUGCGCAUUUAUCAAUCAAUGCCAAUUUCCCUCGAAGUUGUCGGCUAUUUAUAACACUUUGAAUACUUCAAAAUUCAAUUUAUGAAAAAACAGGAUAGUAUGGUUGAGAAUUUUAUAACUUUUGGUACUCUCCUUUGAGCUGGCCCACCCAGUAUUUUCUUCGAAGCUUCGCCACUUGUAAGGGGGCAUGUGGCUGGUUGGGGCUAGCAAAAACAGAUGUGAGCAUGUGCGGUUGAUCAAAUGGAAUGUGUUAACAAUAAUUAACUCAUCGUUAAUUAGGGGAUAAUCCCCGCUCUCCCCAUGCAUGUAAUCGCAUGAUGGUGGAACCGUCACAACGGUUUCUCCCUGGAGCGUCGCCUCUUGGAACCGUCGUCUCCUUUGGAGACAUCUGUACAUGUUGUAUAUAAAGGAUCCAACACUAUCAAUAAAGACUACUUGAUUCACUUUACAACUCUCUCGAUUGUUCUCUGUCGAUCUCUAUUUUAACACGUUAUCAGCAUGCUCCUAGCGGGGCAAUUCCAUCGACGCGACGGUUCCUGGCUAUAUCACACUGCUAACAGAAAAAAUGGUGUCUUAUAUAUCAUAAGGCACUAGAUUCAGAUCUCAGCAUCUGGUUAUUCUGUAUCAGCAAUUCCUGGGAUACAAUGAACCUCAAGGGCAAAGGUUUGAAUCUUACUUCAACCUUCAAUCCGACAUCACCAGCUAUGACGGGACCCUAUGGGCACAGAGAAUGUGAUGGUUGAAUAUGCCUCAACCGACAUGUUUGGAGACUAUGAAUAGUCUUUCAAUCUCCUGAGUGGUCAAUAUAAUUAAUGCCCAUUUACGAUGUUGUAACAACAAUAUAAGUAUGUUGUCAUCAUAUAUUGUAUAUCACAAUAUAUUGUAUCAGCACUUUGAUACAAAUACAUUUGUAUGUAUUCUAUAUAUCUGACAGUGAUUUUCAUAUUGAGAAUCUUCAUGUCUAUAUAUAGAUUUCUACGGGAGUCAAUCCGAUGAAAAAGAUAUGUACCUUGUGGACAUAUGCACCACAAACUCUAUACUCAGGGAAGUCCAAUGUUUCCACUCUCAUUGAGAGAAAGGAGAUAUUUUAAAAUUGCUAGACGCGAUGAGGUAUUUUGUUGGCUCAACUCGAGUCAUAUUUACUAUCCCUGUGGGUACUCGAGUAACAUCGGGAUGCUUUAUGCUUCCCAUGUUUAAUCGUACCCUACUAAACUAUGGAGGUAUUCAUCAAAAUAGUUUCCAUAGCGAAACUUAUGAUGACAAAGAAAGAGAAAUAACUUCUCUUUACCAUAUGCAACGGAUAUGGCAAGCACAUUCUCUAUGUAUCAUCGGCAUUGCACUACACAUACUACAAAACCCGUAGCACAUGUUGCGUACGAGAUAGUAUUCCAGAGUGUCUUUUGCUUGAGAAACUUGGCAUUCCUGCUUUGGUCAUCAUUGACAUUGGGUUGAAACCAAAACUAUCAGCAAUUUCAGUGGUUUAUGAUUAUUAUGAUGCUAAAUUCUAACAAUAUUUGGAUUUUAUGUGCACUACAUGUGACACAGGAAGGCAAAUUUUAAGGCUCGUACACCUUAAAGUGUAUGCUGAACCACUCGGACUCUUUGAAUGCAUCAAGUCGAGGUAAGUGGAUCUUCCCAACCAUUGACUAGACUAUUCAGGUAUCCAUGGUUUUCCAAAGACACAUCUACACGAUGGUCUCAAGUGUGCUUUAUUCACACGAAGCCAUUGGCUCAUUAUCCUGACAUCGAUUUCAAGAAAAUCGUAUGGAUAGCAUUGCAGAAUUCUCCUUGAGUGCCUUUCUCUAUGGCCCUCGGAUUGAAGUUUAGCAAUUUGUCCUAAUGUCUAGACUUGAAAUGGUUUGGUAGAAUCCUAUAUCCAAAGAAUUAAGCUCAUUGCAUUAUCUUUACUUUGGAAUUGCAAUUUACCAACUUUAUGUUGAAGCCAUGCAGUUUUACACGCUCAUGACCAAACUGCAUACUAUUAUUCCUCUCUAUCUUUGAUACGUGGAAAUCUACCAAGUAUUUCGCAUCUGCGAUAUUUCGGUUGCAUACCAACAUCACCACCCCAACAUACAUCAUCGGCCCCUCAACAUAUAGUUGGGAUCUAUGUGAGGAAUAAUUGUAUUACCGUCAAUACCUCAAGCCCCUCACAUGGGAGUUAUUCAAGGCCAGUAUGUUGAUUCAAUGAGGAACAUUUCCAGGCAUUAGGGGGAGAUUUCAAGUACCAUAAAGAGUGCCAGAAAAUUAGUGGAAUGUUCAACACAUUUCUGCCUCAAAUCCACGUACUCAAAUAUCUGAACCAUGCGUUCAGAGAUUUGCAACACAUUGCAAAUAACCUGCCAGAUUCAUUUACUGACUAUAAAGGUGUCACACGACUCUAUAAUCCUGCUGAAAGAACAUGCGGUGCCCCCAUGUUUGGUUUUGGUAAUUGAUGACAAUCUCUAUGGACUAAUGGUUGCUUUGAGUUAUAUUUGAAGGAUUUGUCCAUAGGCAUUUCUUGAAGUUCAUGUGUUGGUUUCAAGGAGUUUAUGUGGUGACCAAGGUGUUAUUAAGGAAUUAUCCAAAGAUUGGUCAUGUGAGAGUUGAGCUUAUUGCAAGCAUGUCUUGGAGAAGAAGAUUGUGUGAUCAUUCAUGUAUAUCUUCAAGACAUCAUCCAAAUAAAGAGAGUUGAAAAGAUUCAUGGUUGAUCAAGACUAAGUCAAGAGUGAAUCAACUUGAUCAACUCACAAAGCGUACAAGAUGUACCGAGAGGGAUCAAGCGAUCCCAUGGUGUGGUGAGCAUUGUCAAUUACGCUUUGUGUACUAACCCAUGAUCUUCGUGAGAGUUCUUUGUAGGGUUAGGUUGCGGUGUGCAAGUUCAAGUGAAGCAUCAUGAAGAGAUCAAAUGCUUGAAGCUUGCCGUCCAUUGUGGUGACAAUGGACUUGUGAAGAUGUUGCGGUGUGCAAGUCCAAGUGAAGCAUCAUGAAGAGAUCAAAUGCUUGAAGCUUGCCGUCCAUUGUGGUGACAAUGGACUUGUGAAGAUGUGCGGAAGAGUGGCUCACCCAUAGUGGAGCAUGGGGGAGCAAUCAACUAGUCUUCAUCGAGCCAACGCAACCAAGAAAGGUGGUCCAACUUGAGGGAGUCAAGAUCGUCAUCAUCUAGCUCAAGUGGACCAUGUGCAAGGCAAAGGUUUGCUCUUGAUAGGUUUUCUAUUUUACCGGUCUCAUGAUGGUAGGUGGGAGACCGGGUUAUAGGAUCGAUUGUCGUACUAUCAAGGGGGGCUCUCGAUGAGUAGCUUGAUCGUAUCGUUCAUAGAGAGCUCAAACAUUACAUCCUUGCAUCAUCUUUAUUGGUUCUUGUUUGGUUCUUCUCUUUGUGAGUUUUGGAGCUUAUGGUCAUCUUGAUGACAAGCUUGAGUUCAUCGAAAACGGAGUUCACUCGCAUCUUCUAUGAUGUUUUCGAUGUUGGAGGUUAUGCCGGUUCUUCUCGGUUGGAGGUUUCACUCCUCUAUUUGUUGGCAUACCUUCCCUACCUCUUCUUACUAUAACCAGUCUCUGUUUUGAUGCUACUCGUCUUUCUCAAUCCAACAAGCUUGAGUUUGCUCAAUUCGGAGCUCAUAUGCAGAAGUUAUGGCAGUUUUGGUUUCCUAGCGGUAGUACCGCGGGCCGGAGCGGUAGUACCGCUUGGGUGCUACAAGCGGUAGUACCGCUCCAGAGCGGUAGUACCGCUGGUGGCCCCAGCCGUAGUACCGCUACGGUCUCGUACUAGUACCGCCUCGAUUCGAGGGGUCUUUUUCGUGUCGGGUUUUACGGUACUAGCCGCGGCAGUGGGGGCCGUAGUACCGCUCGUAUGCGGUAGUACCGCCCUGCCACCGCGGUAGUACCGCUCUGGGCUCAGUGGCAGUACCGCGAGGGGGAGUGGUAGUACCGCUUAUAGGGGCAAGCGGUAGUACCGCUCUCUGCGGGGCUGAAGUGGGGGUAACGGUUGGAUUGUUCCCCCCACUAUAUAAGGAGGUCUUCUUCCCCAAUGAACCUCAUCCUUUGAGCUCGUGUUCUUCCCCCAUUGUUGACCUUCUUGGAGCUUGCUAACUCUCAAUCCCUCCAUGGAUUCUUGCUAGUUUUUGAGGGAAAAGAGAGAGGAGAUCUAGAUCCACAUUUCCACCAAUCACUUUCUCCUCUAUGUGAGGGGAACCCAUUGGAUCUAGAUCUUGGAGUUCUUGGUGUUCUCCUUCUUGUUCUUCCUCUCAUUUUCCUCCCUAGCAUUAGUUGCUUCGGUGGAAUUUGAGAGAGAAGGACUUGGGCACUCCGUGUGCCCUUGCCAUUGCAUUUGGUGCAUCGGUUUGAGUUCUCCACGGUGAUACNNNNNNNNNNNNNNNNNNNNUGACCGCCCCCAAGGGUUGCCAUUUGUACGGGUUCGGUGACCGCCCUCAAGGGUCCCUUAGUGGAAUCACGGCAUCUUGCAUUGUGCGAGGGCGUGAGGAGAUUACGGUGGCCCUAGUGGCUUCUUGGGGAGCAUUGUGCCUCCACACCGCUCCAAACGGAGAUUAGCAUCCGCAAGGGUGUGAACUUCGGGAUACAUCGGCGUCUCCGCGUGUCUCGGUUAUCUCUUACCCGAACCCUUUACUUAUGCACUUUACUUUGUGAUAGCCAUAUUGUUUCUUGUCAUAUAUCUUGCUAUCACUUAGUUGUUUAUCUUGCUUAGCAUAAGUUGUUGGUGCACAUAGGUGAGCCUAGUUGUUGUAGGUUUUGUGCUUGUCAAAUUAACCGCUAGGUUUAUUCCGCAUUUGUUCAAGCCUAAACCGUAAUUAUUUUAAAGCGCCUAUUCACCCCCCCUUUAGGCGACAUCCACGAUCUUUCACCUGCAAAAGUACGUGUGAAAGAGUGGAGGUACCAACAAAAUCCACUCCACUCCCCGUUCAAAGCAACAUGGGGAGAUGUAUGGCAGAAGUACAUCAGGAUUCAACUUCUCGCAAGCAAGGAUAACAAGGCAUGUGAAUCAGUAAAUGCAAGUCAACUUUAAGUUGACAGACACCUAAUGGGUAGUAUACCUAGUGGAUGGGAAACCCCCACCAACCCAGGUCAUAGUGCACACAAUGACCGGGACAUCGGAAUACCCGACUCAGCCGCAUUGGGAAAUUGCGAGCAGUCACCAUGGAUAACGAUAUUUCCAUCAAGUCUAUAUUGAUAUAUAGAUUCUGGAGAAUCAUAUAACCGGAAGUCUACAAUUGUCGACAUAUUUCUCAACUAGAUUGCAAAAACCUUUCAAAUGAUUCAGAUCCAAAGACCAUGGCCAUGGCAAAGUGUGAACAACACUCGGAUUGAACUCAAGCAAAGGGUAUAAUCUAGGUAGAAAUGAUCUUGCUCAAUAAUGGGAAGGUAUUCGUAAGCAAUACCUACACCAGUUUUCUUCUGGAAACAGAAUUGAGAACAACGAGGUGGUGAAACAAAGAGCAAGUAUUGUAACACAAGGGUUCACGCAGAUACCCAACUAUUCUCCAGAGGUGGAAUCUCUUUCUGAUAACUUGUAUCAUUGGCAGUACAAAAUCAUCUAUCUGCGCAGUUGAUAGAUGUAGUGAUUACAUAUACAUGUGGAUCACUAGAUUCAAAUAUAAAUGGUUCCCGAUGGAAUCUCAAUUCUGAAUCGACAUACAUUGUGUAAAAUCAGUAAGUCACCGUACGACUUAUUAUUGUCAGUACAUAUGGUACAACUGACGUAGUGAGAUCCUUAUACACAAGGAUUACUCCUACAAUGAUGAUUAUCCAUGUUUGUGUGUCUGCAAUGACGACACAUGUAAUCAUCUAAAUGACGGAGUUUAAAAUGAAGGAUUUUGGUAAACCAAAGUACCGCACGUUACUACAAAAUUGAGCACCUUCAUUCAUACAUUAUGGUAUAUUAUGUUGUCUAUAUCCAUAAUAUAUUGGAGAAAUUCAUUGUGGACAAAUCUUUUCCAUCCAUAACUCUCAUGGUAGUUCAUUCUCUAGACGUAGAGAAAGAUCUAUUUAGACCGAGAGAUGAUGGAAAUGAGAUAUUGGGACUCAACGUUUCAUAAUGCCAUUGGAUCCACCAAACACAUUGGUUGGCACUCAAGAAUAUCUUUAGAUAUUUCCAAUGCAUCAAACAUCUUGUCCUGGUUUUUUAGUUUCACAGAAAUGUGAACACCGAUAUCAUUGGAUACAUCGAUCAGAUCCCCACAGACAAGCUUAGUGUUCCUACUAGGUGUGGUAGCCCUCUCAUGAAGAGUCUUUGAAACAGACCUCGUGGCUACAUUCACCAACCAUUAUCUCAACGUUAAUUUGUCUUGCGUUGCCCGGAUGAAAACAGGUUACGUAAUAAGCAAUAUCGCUAUAUUGCAUAUCUUGCAAGUUAAAUCAUGUGACUGAUUUAUUCAUGAAGUCUCUACCAACUUUUCACGGAAUUGGUAUGUGACGGCUUUGAAUUUUGCAAGAAUCAAGGGGGGUAUCUUCCUGAAUUGUUCCUGUUCAAUACAUCAUAUUAUACUCUUUUUCCCUUCGUAAGUUUACUUUACAGGUUCUCAUAAAAGUUUUGAAUGAGGUAAUAUCAACACAUGAUCAUAUGCCAUACUUUCUGUUUUCCCCACCGGGGUUUUUAGGAAAGUAUGCAUGGCAUAUUUGUUGUUCUCUAAACUCUAUGGAUUUUCUCAUAUUGAGUUAAAAGAGACAAUAACCAUUAUAUGUUGCGUCAUUUUCUCCUUAUUUUUUCCACUGGGUUUGAAGGAGUUUUGGCAGCAUAUCAAACACUAUCUCCUCAUAUUUUUUCCACAGGAUUUUUGGAGGAAAAUUUAAUCAAGAGAAUGGAUCUUAAUGCAGUCAAGCGAUGAUUAGGGGAAGUGUUAAGAAUAAUUAACUCAUUGUUAAUUAGGGGAUAAUCCCCGCUCUCCCCGUGCAUGUAAUCGCACGAUGUGGGAACCGUCACAACGGUUUCUCCCUGGAGUGUCGCCUCUUGAAAAGGAGACGUCUGUACAUGUUGUAUAUAAAGGAUCCAACACUAACAAUAAAGACUACUUGAUUCACGUUACAACUCUCUCGAUUGUUCUCCGUCGAUCUCUAUUUUAACAGGAUGCAACGGCUGCGUAGGUGGCGGAAUGCUGCGUGCGAUAGGUCAGCUGAAUAGAAUGAUUUCCCUUUUAGGAUACAGUUCCUGUAAGUCUUUGUGGGAUUUAGAAAUAAUUCGGUUCAUUAACAUGGGCGUUAGAAGCUUAAAGUAAAGAGCAAAUAAUGAGAUGACAAUGUAAAAUAAUACUGAAAAGACUUUGUCUGGCUUCACUCGGUUCAGUGAAUUAUUCAAGUCGUUUUGUCAAAUGAAUCUGGCGCAUGUAUCUCACAUAGUUAUGGCGUCUCUCAAGAUAACUUCGCAGUUAUACAAAAAUUUAAAUUUGACAAAUUCAUUUUUUUAACUCAGAUUAAAUUUCAUAAUGGUUCUUUAAUUCAAACUAAACAUCACAAUUUAAAGUGGACUUGCCUGUCCUCAAUACAGCAACUUCGCGACAAACUAAACAUUUUUGUUUCUAAUCUAACGAACUAGUUGUCUUCUCCUGCGGCGAUCCUCACUGCCAAUAAUUUAUAGACAAAUAAUAAGGCGACAGAAGCAUAACAGCGCAUAAAUUUUAAUUUCUAUCGCAGGUUAAUGCAUCUUCAAAAGAAAAAGAAAAAGACGAGUGCUGGAAAUGGAACCAUGAAGCGAGGGCACAAGCUUCUGUCUGUCAUGCUCUCUUUCUUAAGGAAGAAAAAAUCCAUUUUGCCCCCACCCUCAACUGUUCAUUUGGCUCUUUUCCUAAUUUUGUGUCUGGUUUACUUUUUCUUUUUCUUUUGAGAAUUGUCUCUGGUUUAUUCAAACACCCUAACACGGAACCUAACCGAUGUUUUUCACCCAAAAAGAAAAACAAUCGACCCUCAGACCGUACAUAAGCCAUAUUAUAUCUAUAUAUACAAAGAGAUUAGUUUCACACAUUUGGAAGUACAAGAUCAGAGAACCGAAGAGUUGUGUCCCGCACGGAUUUCAGGAUUUCUAGCAGUUGGAGAUGGACAACUGUUAACCAAUAGUUAGUACUACCUACUUAGGCAGAGUAUCACCCCCUCUGUCCAGGCUGAAAAGCAUACUGAGAACAUGUACCCGGUAUACGAUCGGGUUCUUCGCUUGGCCUUGAUCUUUCAGCUCGCUUUAGUCGUCUCUUACGAUACCUCCACGCGACUUGGAUGCGCGCUGCAGCGAUGGUCCUCCAGUAGGGUGAUUCAUACCUGUCCAACACAUUUGCAGCAUUUAGUCUCAGGCAUCAGCCAACGUAGUAAUACAGAGAUCAGAAAAUGAAUACUCGAGUACCAUAUAUAAUAGUUCUUAUUAUGCAAGAAUUUUUAGCUGGUAAUCUUAAUCACCACGAUACAUGGCACUAGUAAAGUUACUCAUAUUUUCUCACUGUUAAAAUUAAUCAAAACAACAGCUUCAGCAUCCUACAAUUCCGGCCGAACUUAACUUUAUUUGAUAUAAACAGUAAUAUGAUGAUCAAUAUGAUAAACCAGACAAGCAAGUGGCUACCUGAUAGCCCCCUGCACUCUUGGAUUACGCAAGAACCGUGCAAAUUGUCCAGUAACUUGUUCGAGAUCACUUGCUCGAAGUACAAAAGCUUCAACAUUCGUUAAGCAUCGCACAGUACGUAUAGCAACCAAACGCAUACCAUGAAAUCUACUUUUCCCGCCAUCUGAAACAGUAGCAGUACAUGUGAUGCUAAAAUUAUGAACUAUAUAUGGAGUAUAACAAGCAGGCAGGCCAGAUAUUGCAGACCUUUAUUCGUUGAAGAGUGUUCCAAGUACCAUGUGAGGAGUUCCUCUCCACAUACAUCUCCAUCUUGUAACGGAGCCCUGCUUCCAUCUGCACUGAUGCUUUCUAGCUUGCCUCUCACUAUGAAGAUCAUCUUGUCAACAGGGCCACCUUGAUAAAGAAUGUCACUUCCACUGAUAUAUAAGUUUUGUCUUAAUUUGUCACAGAUAGCAUCCAAGAUAGGCCAAUCCAUCAAGGUGAACAAUCGAACCUGCAGAACAAUUACACUCAGGGAUCCCAUAAGAAAUGAGAGGAGAGGUCAUUACUAGACAGGCAUAGAUACUAAGGUGAACCUGCAAACUGAACAGAUCAAAUACGUGCCACUUUUUCGAUGGAAAAAGAUUGCUGAGAUCUCUAGCUGUUUAUAUUGGGAUCACCCAUUAAUCUCUUUUUCUUAAAAUUUUAAUGUUUAAUUUAUUCCUAUCCUCACCGUGCUGACUGAAAUAUACCGUAUUAAAGAGUACUGCAGCCAACUUAUUACAUACCUUAUUAAGGAAUCUAAAGAAAUGUCGACGUAUAUCCCUUUGAAUAUCUUCUGGUAAAUUACUUAAGAGCUCCUCUUCAUUUACUCCUUGAGUGGCUGCCCAGGUGAACCUUUCUGCAUGUCUAACCCUCCUGUACAUUUAGAAACCUCCAACGGUUACUAUCUUUGAAGCGUAAAACUAAACUUAAAAAUAACAUGAAAAAAAAUUUCAAACCACAAUUCAGGUCUUUAUUGACAUUGCCAUGAGAUGACACAUGUUACGAGUAUGAAGGUUAACUACUUAUGUGAGAAUUUAGUGCAUUAAAUCAUUGUUUUAUGUCUUUUAAGAGUGAAUUCCAGCUUUCACCUCCUAUUUUGACCUUGUAUGCUAAAUACCCAAUUUAACUGUUUUCCAUCUGGAUUACCCAUUUAGCGAAAGUUUUGCCUGUUUUUACCCAUUUAGUGGAAGUUGUGCCAAUUUUUACCCCAUUUAAAAUUUUGAGAGCGAUCUGCUAAGUGCGUUCGGUCGUCAGGCACACAUUACGAGCCAUGUCGUAGUUUCCUCCUUGCAUCUGAACUGGUUCGUGUCCCUAAGCCAUAUCUGUCUCACGCACCCACAUGCAACUGUUUAGCUAAACCAACUGCAAGAUGGGCAUGUAUGUACACCUGACGACAGUGAGAAAAAAGCCGUGUAAAGCCAUUCGACCUGUUAGUGUGCAGGAAAAAAACCAGAAGGAAAACCACGACAUGGCAUGUUACGUGUACCCGGCGGCUGGGACACACCUGUUGGAUCGCUCUUGAAAAUUUAGAAGGGGUAAGACCAAAAAAAACUUCCACUAAAUGAGAUAAUUCGGAUGAAAAUCUGCUAAACUUAAAAGCCAUGUCAAAGUAGAGGGUAAAUACUGGAAUUCACUCUUCUUUUAAAGCUUGUUCUUGAAAUAUAAUACACAUUUGUUGUCCCAAUGAAACAAAUUAAGAUAGCUUUUCAUGAAGUUUUAAGAUAGUUCUUCAUGAAACAUGAGAGAUUGACUACACCAGUAUUUGGCAAACUGUUAUUUCUAUACGAACUGUAGAGACAGCACAAAUAACGGAGAACAAGUUCAUGAAGCAUCACAAGCAAAGUAGAUUAGCAACAUGUCAAAACUAUAAAACUUCUUUCCAGUACCAAUUGUACAAGACCAUGAAAUAUGUAAAACAAUAAUAUUUGUUUAGAAGUCACAAGGUAAAACCUUCUCAAAUCUUCAGGCAGUCGUCUAUGGCUCAUCCACUGCUCAACGUCACGCCGUCUAAGUUGCAUCUCUAGUUUCCUAAAAAAAGACAAGGAAAACUUCAUACACCACAUCAAGAUUCAUGUUGCUACAAAUGACAAUAAUUGACUGAAUUGUUCUAAUUGAGAUACAUAAGCAUGCAUAAUAAGUAAGGGUUCAUCUGUUAUGACCGGCAUAACAGGGGUUUAGCCCAGUGGGUUGUGGCCCAAGUUAUCUUAUCAUUAUUAGGGGCUUAGCCCAAUUAUCUUAUCGUUAUUAGGAUCGUUUGAUUAGGAGUCAAGUAAACCUCUCUAUAUAAGGAGAGGAGAUGUAUCAAUCUAAUCAAGCAAGAAGCAAUCAUUAUUUGCUCGGCUUUCCGAAGGGAGCCGGGAGACCUAACCCUAGCCGCCUCUUGCGCCGCCGCCGCCUCUUCUUCAUCGCGCCACAGCGCCCCGCCGCCGGCAGCCGUGAUCGCAUCUCCGUCAACCCUCCCCCUUCCCGUACAACCUACGCCCUAGACCAGGUAGGAUCCUAGCUCCUACCAAUUUGGUAUCAGGUAGCUCGGUUCCGAUCAUGUCUGCACCACCACCCAACCCGCCGCUGCUCGUCACCACCGCGCCGCUGCCUCUCCACCGCGCCGCUGGACUCCACCGCUGGCGCCUCCACCGGCCAGACGCCGCCGCCCUCCACCGCGCCGCCCGUCGCCAUCUACUCGCCGGCGGAGAUGACCGGGGUACUCAACGACCUCGUCACCGCCGUCCAGGGCAUACGCCUCUACCUGGCCGGGCCCUACGGGCAGCCGCCGCGCUAGCAGCCGGACGCCGCGACCGGGCCCGCCGCCCUGCCCUGGUACGCGGNNNNNNNNNNNNNNNNNNNNNNNNNNNNNNNNNNNNNNNNNNNNNNNNNNNNNNNNNNNNNNNNNNNNNNNNNNNNNNNNNNNNNNNNNNNNNNNNNNNNNNNNNNNNNNNNNNNNNNNNNNNNNNNNNNNNNNNNNNNNNNNNNNNNNNNNNNNNNNNNNNNNNNNNNNNNNNNNNNNNNNNNNNNNNNNNNNNNNNNNNNNNNNNNNNNNNNNNNNNNNNNNNNNNNNNNNNNNNNNNNNNNNNNNNNNNNNNNNNNNNNNNNNNNNNNNNNNNNNNNNNNNNNNNNNNNNNNNNNNNNNNNNNNNNNNNNNNNNNNNNNNNNNNNNNNNNNNNNNNNNNNNNNNNNNNNNNNNNNNNNNNNNNNNNNNNNNNNNNNNNNNNNNNNNNNNNNNNNNNNNNNNNNNNNNNNNNNNNNNNNNNNNNNNNNNNNNNNNNNNNNNNNNNNNNNNNNNNNNGCCAGCCCCGGCCCUCGCUGCGCCCCCCACUCCACCCGGGUCUGUACCGCCGCAGCUGCCGGCCCCUCCCCCGCCCAGCACGGGGCCCGGGUCACCCACGCAGGGAGGCGUACCGAUCCAGCAAGUGCGCUUCCCGCCGUCACCGUCCCCAAUACCGGCCUGGCUGACCAGAUCAUCGCCGCCACCCGUCUACACGUCGGCUGGAGACCCGCCGGCACCCACUCUGCAGUUCGACGAUCCCUCCGGCUUGGCGGGGCACUCCACGGGCCGCAGCCAUGCUGACCGGGCGCCCCAAUCCUCGCUGCUUCGCACCUCCGAGCCAGUCGGCCACAGCGCUCCGACUCAGACACCGCCGCGGUUUGCCAAACUGGACUUCGCCACUUAUGACUGGCACGGAGGACCCCCUCAACUGGCUCAACCAGUGCGAGCAGUUCAUUCGCGGGCAGCGCACCCUCGCCUCGGAGCAUACCUGGCUCGCGUCUUACCACCUCCGCGGCGCGGCACGGACCUGGUACUACGCCCUCGAGCAGGAUGAGGGCAGCAUACCCCCUUGGGAGCGCUUCCGCGAGCUCUGCCUCCUUCGUUUUGGGCCACCGAUCCGCGGGAGCCGCCUGGCAGAGCUAGGCCGCCUUCCCUUCACCUCCACGGUUCAAGACUUCACCGACCGUUUCCAGGCUCUGGCAUGCCACGCGUCAGGCGUGACGGCGCAGCAGCGGGCCGACCUCUUCGUCGGUGGACUUCCGGAUCACAUCCGCGUGGACGUGGAGCUUCAGGGACCCCAAGAUCUCCAAACGGCCAUGUACUAUGCCCGCGCGUUCAAGCGCCGCACAGUGGCCAUCCAGCAGGAAUCACCGUCCCGGGCCGCUGGGUCGCUACCCUGGCCGGAUGUUCCCACGCAGGCUCGGCCUGCUCAGGCUUCCGCGGCACCCCUCGCCGCGACCGCGGCGCGCCCGUUCCGCCGGCUCACCUCGGCCGAGCUACUCGAGCGUCGCCGCCAAGGGUUGUGCUUCAACUGCGACGAGCCCUACACGCCCGGCCACGUCUGCCCGCGACUCUUCUACCUGGAGGCUGCAGACUACAUUUCGGAGGACGCCGUCGCCGCCGGCCUGGCCGUCCCAGCUGUCGCGAAGGUGUUUGACGUUGGUUGAUCACCUCGAGGAGUUCAGCAAGCGCUUCCCCACCUUACAGCUCGAGGACGAGCUGUUUGUGCAGGCGGGGAGAAGUGUUAUGACCGGCAUAUUAGGGGUUUAGCCCAGUGGGUUGUGGCCCAAGUUAUCUUAUCAUUAUUAGGGGCUUAGCCCAAUUAUCUUAUCGUUAUUAGGAUCGUUUGAUUAGGAGUCAAGUAAACCUCUCUCUAUAUAAGGAGAGGAGAUGUAUCAAUCUAAUCAAGCAAGAAGCAAUCAUUAUUUGCUCGGCUUUCCGAAGGGAGCCGGGAGACCUAACCCUAGCCGCCUCUUGCGCCGCCGCCGCCUCUUCUUCAUCGCGCCACGGCGCCCCGCCGCCGGCAGCCGCGAUCGCAUCUCCGUCAACCCUCCCCCUUCCCGUACAACCUACGCCCUAGACCAGGUAGGAUCCUAGCUCCUACCAUCAUCUCAUGUCAGUAAUGAAUAAUUAGCAUGAGGUUUCCAUGGAAAGGUAGUGUGAGCUCAUUGAUAGCAAGGUGGAUCAUACAGCAUGAUAAAUAAGCUAGCAGUAAUAACCCCAUACCGGCUUCCAAGAGCUUGGAGAAAAUUUUGCAUGUUCCCGAUGAGUAGUGCAAAAAGCAACAGUCCCAAACCAACAAUAGCCAUAGUGAAGAGGACUUCCCCUUCGAAGUAACUUGGGAUAAGAUUUCCAGCCAAAGUACUGAUUUGCUGAAAUGGAACCAUUUACAUUCAAAAAUAAAUGUCAGCAAGAAUAAACUUAAAUUCUCUAAAUUAAAACAUGUACAAAUAGAUGGGAACAUCACUGGUAAGUAGAUUCCGUACGGAGAUAAGAAAAGGUAAAAAUAAGGAAGAAUGUUGUGGAAAAGUCUAUUCACCACAUGUCAAGUACAACAAAAGGGAUACCUGAGUGAAAUAGAAGAACACGGGCAAUAGAUGUAAAAUACCUGAAAACCCCAAAAUAAUGAAUAUACAUAGCGUGUAACAGCACUGUGUUUCGUAGCCAGCAGAACAGCUUGCUGAUAAAUCCCAUACUGGAAAUUAGUAUCAUUCCCGGUGUCAAAACAAGCUGUUGAGGCUGGCUCAUUAACCCAUUGCUGACUAAUUUGCUCAUUCUGCCCUCCAAUAUCAAAGUUGAGUCCACAGUCUCGGAAAACCUUACACGAUGAAAUGUUUGACACAGAACAAGCAUUUUGUAGGCAUUGGUUAACCCUCUGUGACAAAAUAUGAAACAGAAGUAUUUUAUAGGCAUCAGGUGUUAAGCACUGACUAUGCAAAUUGAAUAACUUAUGAUCAAGGAUAACUGCUGAAGUAUACAUAACUGAGACAUAGUUCAAAUUAAAUUAAGCAGCAGUAUCUGGCAGCUUUUAACAUUCUAUCACAUUUUUCCUUUUAGUUGCAGUUAAGUCAGACCACAUAUUUUUCUCAAAAAAUGUUAGAACUAAAUGCAACUGGACGUGUCUUCAGGACCACUCUCUAUAACAAUGCCGGCGGAGAGUAAUAUUCUUGCACUAGUAAAAUACAACUGAGGAAGUUAACUUUAUGGUUCUGUAAAUUGCAAUAAAAAAUGAACUGACCUGUAAUCCAAAAAGGUACCAACAUGAACCGACGACAUGACCCGCCAAAACAAACAUUAGAAGAUUAAUCACAAAAUUAGCCCAUGCUGACUCAAAUAUGAAUCCAGUGGCAGACUGACGACCACCGAGCAAUGGUACAAAUCUGAUGAUGCGGGGGACAUAUUGAAGAAGAAUAAUGACACGCAAAUAAUUCUUCGCAUCAUCUGCUGUUGUUGAUAAGCCAAAAGAUCUAGGGAUAAUCGCCAAUAUAAUCACCUUGAUCAAGCAACAAAGAAAAAACUUAGCAGCUAGUACAUGGCACAAACAUAGCAAGGAAGUUCACAGGAAGUCAAAUUCUUUCAAUGAUAUGUCUAUUUUGGUCACGAACUUGAAAAAGAGAGCAAUCCUCCCUGGUUUAUACGAGUAACUGGAACAGUAAGCAGAUGAGAACCAUUAAUCCAUCUAGAAAAAAGAUCAGAACAGUUGCUGCAUAGAAAGGAAAUUUGCAUGCAUGCAAAUUUAUUAGGAAUAUAUAUUAUCAGCUGAGCUAAAAUGUGUUGAUCCUAUGUAAGCAUGACCUUCAUUUUGCCUUCUUAUAAUCACUGUUAUGCCAAAUUAUAUAUGAUCUUUGCAGUUUCUGGUUCGCCUAAAUAUGUUUGAAACUACACCAGUUGACUAACGUGCGCAACCAAAGCAAGUCAAAAUAUGCAAUACAUUAUACAUGUAUUUUGAGUGUGGCUUAGAACAAAUAUUUUGGCACAAAUAACAAGUGGUCCUUGUUAGGAAUGAGAUGAGGAAGCUUGAUAUCUAAAACGACUGGUAUCAAUGUAGAAAGUCUUAGUCACCUGAGGGAGUGGAAGCACAACGAAGAAAUCAAGUAAAAAAUAACCACGGAGAUAAUGAACAGCUAUUUUCUUUGGCUCGUCAACUAAAUCUCCAGCUCCCACUACUCUUGACUCUGGAGCUACAUAAGCCAGUCUGAACUGAAAGAGAAGUAUCAUUAUGUUCAUCAAUAUCAUGACAUAAGUUUGAAGCUACAUAACAAUUGUUGGCAGCACAACUGAGAUCAAAGUAGAGAGCACACACGAAUAAAAUAGAACCUUCAAAAUUAUUAUAACAAAAAAUGCAGCUCCAUUUCCCCCGUGAGUUCUGUUCAACAAAAGACUACCACUAGACAAAAUAUUUGGUUGAUGUUCACAAAUUGGUAUAUGUGAAACAGAUCUAUAUUCAGAGACAAGCCCAGUAUCAGUGGAACAGAUCUAAUUCAACUUCAAGUCUUUGCACAAAACCCACAUAACAAAUAAGGUGGGAUGACAACAGUACAUGGAACUGUUAAGCUUCAUGCACUAGCCAACGCAACCAAAAGUCUGAACUGAUGGAAAGGGCUAGGCAAUCCACAUAUACACUUCAACAUCCCUGUCACGUAUGACGCUGGAAGUCAACACGUGAAUAGACUCAAGAGGCCUAUACGUGGACACAAAGGGGGGCAGCAGCAAAUUUUGGAUAAAAUUGUGAAAGCCAGGAUUUGAACUCAAGACCUUAGGCUUUGAUACCAUGUUAAGCUUCAUGCACUAGCCAACGCAACCAAAAGUCUGAACUGAUGGAAAGGGAUAGGCAAUCCACAUAUACACUUCAACGGGAACAAGAUUGACCACGGUCUGGCCGAACCCCCUGGGCAUCUCUCUGAGGCGGCUCGGGCGGAAACCCCACUUGCCUGCCACUGCCACCCUAUCCUCUGUCACUCUCCUCGCCGCCGCCAGCACACAACGGAGGGCAAAGCCCGCCGCCGGCUGACGACGACGAGACUCCUUCCUCACACGACCAAGAGCCCCCCACUGCCCCUCAGAUCUAAUCCUUCAAAGUUGCAUCCUGCAUCCCCCUCCAUGGAUCCGCCUACAUUGCACCGGUCAGCGCCUGCUGGCUCCCGUUGGUGAACGGCGAGCCCUCUGACCUCGACCAGCGCAGCUGCCGCCCUAUGAGCUCUCCGACCACCGGAUCCCGCGCCACGGCUGCAGGAUUGGCUUCUGCGUGCCCACCAUGCAGCCCUUGGGUGACCAUUGUUGUCAUCUCUCUCGUGCUGUGUGUGCCCUUCAUUUACACUUCACCUUGGGCUAUGACCUCCCUCCGGUGGAGAUAUUUUCACUAGCGGAACUCUACGAUCAUGUCACUUCUUCCUCGCCCUUUCUCGCCACUUCCUCCCUUCAGGCGGCGAAAGGGCGCUUCUCCCUCGUGCUUGUUCGUCGAGCCAGAGCCUUCCCGCCUCCAUUCUAAUUCUCUCCUGGGCUAUGACCACCCUUCCUUUGGGUGCUGGAUGGCACGGAAUUGGUAAUGGGACAACUACUUGACAUGACUACCUGCGGUCUACCCUUCGAUGGCUAGAGUGUCAUCUUGUUGGAACUUUAAUGUGUGUAUUUUGAAGUUUGCCUCCCUAUUGUCUCCUCUCUGUUGCUAGUGUUCCAUGUAUGUGCUUAUGUCAUAACCUGUGCAGCAUCUCUACAGUCACCUAAAUCCAUCUGUUGGUCUACACAGUUGUUCCUUGCGGUGUGUUGUAACUGUGUACUUGGUUUUGUGUGUGUGUGUGUGUGUGUGUGUUUCCUGUUUUCCUGCCUCGGCACGCUUGCCCCUUGGGCUCUUAAGGUUUUUGAUCCAGUUCCUUAUAAACUGGAUCAAUCUCUUUUUGUAAUGAGAUCAUAUUCAGGUAGGGAUUUCUCCCCCCUGGUGGCUGUUUCGAAAAAACAAAUAAGGUGGUCAAGUUUUUAUGUUGACAAGAUAUUUCUUUCAUGGUAGAAUUUUUGACCUGGUCAGCUAUUUUGUCUAAAAUUUAAUAUACACUAGUAGUAUGUGAAACGAAUUAACAAGACAAUAAAAACCAUUCGAAAUAGAAUCAACAAGCUAUUAGGUUUAACAGUACAAGGAUAGUUUAGUAUGCAUACUAAGUUAACAAUAUGUCAUUCACAUCAUUACAUCUUGUACGUACUUCAUCCAUGCUGGUAAAAUGUAAAGCAUUGUCUAGAUUAUACUAGAAUAUAACAACCGAUUGACCACUUGCCUGAAGAAGCAUGUGCAGAAAAUAAAUAGCAUCAGAAACACUUCUCACAACGGCAAGUCCUGUCGCCAACUUCCAGUUGAAUACUAUGCAUUUCUUAUCCUGCAUUGAACCCAAAAGGAAAAUCACAAGUGCCGUCUGUUUUGAUCAGAAUUACAACAGCAAGAAAAACUAAUAUUGACUAGUCCCAACAUAUCUUCACAUUGCAAAUCCUUGAGACAACUGAUUUAAUGUGUCUAUAGUAAUGACUUUUGAGGGUGAGUGCUCCCUGAAAAACGUUAUGAAACCUUCUUGCUCCUACCGCUAUCACCACAAUAGAUAUCAACUCUCUGAGGUGGAAGUAUGGAGUAAUACCAUCCAACACAUGUCCAGAAACGUCACAGCAUCACCCGAAGUCAGCAAAAUAAUUACAAGUUUAGAAAUUAGCAAGGCACCACAACUGAGCUUUACAAAAUAGCACCAGCAGACAGAUGUACGCAUCUAACCAAACCUAUCUAAUGUAUUAGUCAUUUUUAUAGUACUCCAUUCUUGUUUAUGUGAUAUUUUAUGAUGCGAAGAAUCAGCCUUUUUAAACUUUGACUGCUAAUGCCUAAUAUACACAAGUGUUUUGAUUUUCCAUGUGAGUUUGGCAUGUCAUACUUUUCUUGUUUGACACUCUUGAAGUUUGCUGUAAUAAACAUAGGCCGCAUGCAUCUAUGAUGCGAGGCCAGAGGUAAAAUAUCUUUGAUUUUCUUAAAAGUGGUGCAGAUGUUAUUGCUGGACUUAUCUUUCAAUAAUGUUUACUAGUAGGCAAGUAGAAAAUGUACAGAUGUUAUUACUAAAGUAGUGACCUAAAAGGUCUUAUAAAAGUUUACAGAGGUAGUAUAUUGAUGCGCCUAACUCUUUGCAGAGGCAUACAGUGCUUCAAAGAACUUGCAUUCACAUAAUGCAAAGGCAGGGCUCCUACCAUUUUCUCAGAAAAGGGUGUCCAUUGGAGAAUGUGUCAAUUCUCCAAGACGACGUGUAGAAAGAACGGAGUUGUUAGCUGGCAAAUUUGUAAAAUGUUACCUUCUCUACUGACAACAGGAAGAAAAAUAGGGGGUCGAUGAAGAUGGCAACCAGGCAUGAUAUCACAAAGAAUUGAUUCCAUUGUUGAACAACCUUCGCAUGUGGGUUCAUAAUCGGAAUGUACGAAAGGAAACGCUCAAUGCUCUUCUUCCAACCACGAUGGUGACUAUAGAGAAUAUUAUGAAGCUUCAAAAGAGGAGAAACCCACAUUAGUACCAGUCAAAAGCUGUGAGAGUUCUAAGAACUGUUUCAACCAUUGUUUAAAAAGAUCUAGCUAGACAAACAAGCUAAGAACUACACCAUAACCUCGGACGUAUUAAACUGUAAGAGUUUUAAGAACUAUUUCAACCAUUGUUUUAUACUUGAUGAUUAGUACCAGUCAAAAGCUGUAAGAGUUUUAAGAACUAUUUCAACCAUUGUUUUAAGAAGAUCUAACUAGACAAACAAGCUAAGAACUAUACCAUAACAUCAGACGUAUUAAACUUCUAUGAUCUCAGUUAUUUGUCAGAAAUGAGAUGUUGGUGAUUCCAGUACUUGGUUGAGGUUGUUUGUUUUACCAUAAAAAUUAGUGCACCGAUCUAAGCAUAAUCAUCAAGUAUAAAGUGAAUCAUGUAAGUAGCAAAGCAAGUAAAACCACCUUAUUGUCAAAAUGAUUUGGAGCCCGUUGGAAAUGCCUCUUGUUUUUGCACACAGGAGGGCAAUGGACACAGUCGGGAUUAUCACAUUGUCCCAAAGGUCCAGACAUCAUCAAAUGUUCAUUCUUUGGAAUAUCUCCACCAUGAGACCACCUGUUUCCUCCAGCGUCUUCUGGCAUGACGGCUUGAGGCUUGCUGACUUGUUUUGCCUGCGGAUGUCGCGGCGGCCUAUUAUCCGGUGUGUGCCUGCUAACAACAAACGGGUUGCCCGCUGCUGCAACCUGGCUCGACGGCUGACUCGACAGAGGUCCGGUAUGGGGCACGUAAGUGUCUUCUUCAUAAUCCUCGUCCCUGACCGGCAUACACAUAGAUGUACUUCUGGGAAAUCUUGGUAGCUCAAUAUUUCUUAACAGCAUUGGGAUAUCAUCCCUCUCCUGAUCAGACAUCUUUUAACCCUGCACACAGCAUCCACUGCAUUAGCAAAUCACGUUCAAUCGAACAGCUAAUACAUANNNNNNNNNNNNNNNNNNNNNNNNNNNNNNNNNNNNNNNNNNNNNNNNNNNNNNNNNNNNNNNNNNNNNNNNNNNNNNNNNNNNNNNNNNNNNNNNNNNNNNNNNNNNNNNNNNNNNNNNNNNNNNNNNNNNNNNNNNNNNNNNNNNNNNNNNNNNNNNNNNNNNNNNNNNNNNNNNNNNNNNNNNNNNNNNNNNNNNNNNNNNNNNNNNNNNNNNNNNNNNNNNNNNNNNNNNNNNNNNNNNNNNNNNNNNNNNNNNNNNNNNNNNNNNNNNNNNNNNNNNNNNNNNNNNNNNNNNNNNNNNNNNNNNNNNNNNNNNNNNNNNNNNNNNNNNNNNNNNNNNNNNNNNNNNNNNNNNNNNNNNNNNNNNNNNNNNNNNNNNNNNNNNNNNNNNNNNNNNNNNNNNNNNNNNNNNNNNNNNNNNNNNNNNNNNNNNNNNNNNNNNNNNNNNNNNNNNNNNNNNNNNNNNNNNNNNNNNNNNNNNNNNNNNNNNNNNNNNNNNNNNNNNNNNNNNNNNNNNNNNNNNNNNNNNNNNNNNNNNNNNNNNNNNNNNNNNNNNNNNNNNNNNNNNNNNNNNNNCUAAUUUGGGGUAUCAUGUCAAAACUUGACCAAUACCGUGGUCACUAUCAAGUGUUAAUAUGCAGAAGAAAAAUAAGUUGGCCCCUGUUGACCCUAACCAAGCUCCGCCACUGACAUAGAUAGUAUAGAAUAAUAUAACUGUUACAACCAAGCGGACGAACGCUGUAUGAAUGAAAAACAGAAACAAAGAGGAAACAAUUCGCCGCCAUCUAGACAUGCCUCCACGCAGAGCUUCGCGCAUACCGAGAUUUGGCGGCGGCGGCGGCUGAAGCGGCUACCAGAGCAUCCCCGUGAACCCCAGGAGAGAAGUACACGGGAAAUUUACCAAUAAAACAGCACGGAAUCGGCUCUCCGAGGCCCGAAUCUUCUAUUUUUAGGCAAGCCGCCCCGAAUCUCAAUCUCCCGUGCUGAUACUUGGAAGGAAAACGCUCGCCAAGGGGCAGGAAAUCUGCCCCUCCCGCGACGCAAAUGCUACCGAUUGUACUACCAAAAAAACAUCUCCUCCCGGCCGCCGCUGAUUCCUCGCCCCUCGCCGCGCAUUGUAAAUCCCAGAAAUCACGCGAAAUUAACCCGUCAGAAGAAAAUAAAACGCCUCCUCCCUCCCCUACUCCGCUAGAACUAGAAGCGUCGGGGCGUCACACGGAGAAAGGGGGAGAAAGCAAACGAACCCGACGACGGGGGCGAGCUCUCCCGCCGGAGAGGCCGCGAUAGUGCUGCUCUCCGGCAGAUUCCGCGCGGCGAGGGGGGUGGGAAAGAGCUUUUGCCCCGCUUUUCUUCCUGGCGUUUCUCAAGCAAUUUUUUUAUGUGGCUUCGCCGCGAAGGCGCGGAGUGCAGAGGAGGGAUUGGGGGGGAGCAAAGCAGAGCGGAGCAGAGGAGUCAACAAGACGUCUCCUGUUCGCACGGGAAGGACGAGAAGAGUGAGGGUUUAGGUGGCGUGAUCUGUCUCUCUGACAGGGUGGGCGCGUCGGGUGCGAGGGGAGGUGGGCCCCGAGGUUCAGCCUGAGGGGAUAGGGGUGCGGGAUAGUGUGACUGUGCGAGAGGAGGGGGUCAUGCGCCGCCCAGGGGCUGCCACGGCCGUGGCGCCACCUGGGGGUUGGAGGGGGACGACCGCUGUGGUCUGGUCUUCUCGGGUUGGGGAAACGCUGACGAUGGGAAUUUCGUAGCGUGUCGCCUUCACGUGCCACCUUUGUCUUCGUUCUUUUUUUCUUUUUGCUGAUUAUGGUGCCGCCCGAGGGACGAUUCUUCACGGCUUGAGCUGAUUGUGAUUGCAAAUAUAGAAUCACAAUUUUAGGGCUCAUUUAGUUCAAAGGAAAAGUGGAGAAAAGAUGAAAGGGUAUAAAAAAAAGGUAAAUUUGAUGUAUGCCACUAUAAAAUUUCAAGUUUUGAGAAAUGCUAUUACUAUUAUUUUCUUUUCUUCAGAAUAAAGGGCCUUCCAUUUAUGUUUACAAUCAUCUAAAAGAAGCUCAAAAAAAUGGUGCGUCGAGGAUCCAGAUGAAUCUGUGUGCACUCCUAGCAGCUACAUGUGCAAGCGUGUAAGCAACCCUCUUGGCCCCUCGAGGAGUAUGCUCGAAUUUGACAUCUUCUAGUCUCUGAGAUUUUACAUACAUCUUUGUAGUGGAAGCAGGAUAGAGACCGAGUAUUCCCUCUUUGUUGCAGAUUUCGGAUGGCACAUAGAUUAUCAACCUCGACAACUAGAGAUGGUCACUCGCUCAGCGUAGAGAUUGAUCCCUUCAACAAUUGCAUGGUUUUCGCCCUCUUCUAGAUUGUGGCUUCUACCUCCAAUAAUUGCAGCUGCCAUGAGGAUUUAUCCUUUACAGUUUCUGACCACAACCCCGAUCUUCGAAUUCUUUGUGACUGGAUUAAAAGUCGUGUCGGUAUUUACCUUGGCCCACCCCUCUGGUAUACCAAAAUCUUUAUGUGAUGUGGUAGGUCUCACCGAUAUGGAUGAAUGUUCCCUUAAUCUACACUUAGCGGAUUCAAUUAUUAAGAAACCAUUGGGUAGAAUAAAUAAUGUUCUCAUACUUUCUAAUAGAAAUUAUGUGUCUGUGGAUUUUAUUGUGCUUGAUAUUGAAUGCAAUUCGUCUUGUCCAAUAAUACUUGGUAGACCUUUCCUACGAAUCGUAUGUGCUAUUAUUGAUAUGAAAGAAGGAAAUAUAAGGUUGCAAUUUCCAUUAAAAAAAGAGAUGAAACACUUCCCUAGAAAGAGAGUUAGGUCGCCAUAUGAAUCUAUUAUGAGGGUCACUUAUGGAGUUGAUAUGAAGGAUGACAAUACUUGAAACAAUACCUUACGUCUAGAUAGGGGCGUAAAACAAUAGCGCUUAUUGGGAGGCAAUCCAAUAGUUAUCUUAAAUUUAUUUCUUUUACUUUCUGUUUUGGUGUGUUGACACAAUUAUUGCUACUGUUUCGAAUGUGUAUUUAUAUUUUAAUUAUUGUUUGUGCCCAGUAAAGCCUUUGAGAUGAUUUGAUUGGUAUUUGACUUGAUUCUGUGACAAAAACAAAAACUUUUGCUUUCAGUACUGAAUUACUAUGAUUCACUAGAAACGUGAUAAAAUUCUGAAUUUUUACACAUCAUUGAUAUACAAAUUGCCCACGUUGUCCUAAUUUUACAGAAUUUUUGAAGUUACAGAAGCAUAGUUUUUGUUUAGAUCAUUAUAGAUUGUUCUAUUUUAGACAGAUUUUGUUUUCUAUUGCAUAGUUCGCUUGUUCAAUGAUGUUAUGGAUUAUAUCGGGGGGUAUAAGUCAUGGAGAAGUUAGAAUACAAUAGGUAUUAUGAAUAAUAAAAUAUGAAUGGGUUCAUAACAGUACCUAAAGUUUAUGAUUUCUACUAGGGAGCUCACAAGGUUUUUGUUGAGUUUUGUGUGCUGAAGUUUUCAAGUUUUGGGUGAGAUCACCAUGGAUGAGGAAAUAAGGAGCGGCUAGUCCCUAAGCUUUGGGAUGGCCAAGGCACCCCAAGGUAAUGAUCAAGGAAGACCCAAGCGUCUAAGCUUGGGAUGCCCCGGAUGGCAUCCCCUCUUUCGUCUACAAUCUAUCGGUAUGUUAUUUGGAGCUACAUUUUUAUCCAUCACAUGAUAUGAGUUUUGCUUGGAGCGUCUUAUAUCAUAGUUUUGCUUUGUUUGUUUUUUAGUUUGUCACAAUCAUCAUUUGCUAGACACACCUUUUGAGAGGGACAUGCAUUUAUCGUGAUUUGUUAUAAUACUCUAUGAGCUUCACUUAUAUCUUUUGAGCUAGGAAGUUGCUCUGGUGCUUCACUUAUAUCUUUUAGAUCACAGCAGUGGUUAUAUUUUAUAGAAAUGAUUACACUCCCAUGCUUCACUUAAAUCUUUUUGAGAGUCUAAUAAAUAGUGAUGGCAAUAUGUACGGGUUAUAAGACUAGUCCGAGAAGGAUAGUAUUCAAGGGAAUAUAAUAUAAAAAAUUCAUGUAGAUCACUAAAUAUGAAACGCAUGGUUUAAUGAUAUUGAUCUCGUAAUAUGAAAGGAUAUUGGUUCAUGAUCAUUGGUUAGUAGAAAUAUCGGUAUUAAAGCUUGUUAUUAACUUCUUAUCUAAGUGUUGGUCAUGGCAUGGUGGGGAGGUUUGAGCAUUUUUAUGUCUGAAAUGGAACCCUUGAGUGUUGUUAUAAUCGGGGGUGCGCGAUGGUUAACUCCUACCAAUCUAUCCCCAUAAGAGCAUGCGAGUAGUACUUUGCUUCGAAGGCUAAUAGGCUUUCACAAUAAAUAUGUGAGUUCUUUAUCACUAAUGUGGUCCAUGGAUUAUACACACUUAUCUUUUCCGCGGUUUGCUAGCCUCUUUGGUACCGUGCAUUGCCCUUUCUCACCUCGAGAGUUGGUGCAAACUUCGCCGGUGCAUCCAAACCCUGUGAUAUGAUAUGCUCCAUCACACAUAAGCCUCCUUAUAUCUUUCUCAAAAAAGCCACCAUACCUACCUAUUAUGGCAUUUCCAUAGCCAUUCCGAGAUAUAUUGCCAUGCAACUUCCAUCGUUCGGUUUUCAUGACAUACAUGUUCAUUGUCAUAUUGCUUUACAUGAUCAUAGAGCUGACAUGAUAUUUGUGGCUCAGCCACCAUUCAUCAUUUUUAUACAUGUUACGCUAGAUCAUUGAACAUCUCGGUACACUGCUAGAGACAUUCAUAUAGAGUCAUAUCAAGUUGUAAGUAAAUAAAAGUGUGAUGAUGAGCAUUGUCCCAGUGAGGAAAGGAUGAUGGAGACUAUGAUUCCCUCACAAGUCGGGAUGAGACUUCGGAUGAAAGAAUAGAGGCAAAAGAGACCACCAAAAAAGAGAGAAAAGAGAGAAGGGGCAAUGUUACUAUCCUUUUCCAUACGUGUGCUUCAGAGUAGCAUCAUGUUCUUCAUAUAGAGAGUCUCCUGAGUUGUCACUUUCAUAUACUAGUGAAAAAAUUUCAUUAUAGAACUUGGCUUGCAUAUUUCGGUGAUGGGCUUCCUCAAAUGCCCGAGGUCUUCAUGAGCAAGCAAGUUGGAUGCACACCCGCUUAGUUUUCGUUGAGCUUUCAUACACUUAUAACUCUUAGUGCAUCCGUUGCAUGGCAAUCCCUACUCCUCACAUUAAUAUCGAUUGGUGGGCAUCUCCAUAGCCCGUUGAUCUGCCUAACUGAUGCGAGACUUUCUCUCUUUUUGACUCCCCUUAUUAAUCUCUACCAACGCAUUCUAUUCCACCUAGUGCUAUAUCCAUGGCUUACUCUCAUGUAUUACGUGGGAGUUAAAAAUGUUGUAGUGCGUUAGAAGUACGAUCCAAUUGCCUGGUUUGACAUCGAGGUGCUCAUGAUUUAUAUUUAUGCGGUGAAGGCAGAGUCAUGCCAUGCUAAUGAUAAAAUGAGUGGGGAUAAUAUUCGUUAACGAUCGUAUAUUUUGAAAAAGUAAUGAUUAUGUUUCUUAUAUUCAUGGAUUUUAUUAUGUUGAUAUUAUUACUUCAUCGUUUCUCAAUGAUUAUACCGUAAAGAGAUUACAUGAUACACAUGUUAGGUAGCAUUUCAAAUCAAAAAAUUUGUUUUUGUCAUUUAUGUACUUGAGGACGAGCAGGAAUUAAGCUUGGGGAUGCUGAUACGUCUCCAAUGUAUCUAUAAUUUUUGAUUAUUUCAUGUUAUUAUAUUAUCAAUUUUGGAUGCUUUAUAUGCAUUUUUCACUGGUACGCGUCGGUGCUAUACAAACGGUUUUUAACCCCUUUCCGCGACGGCAUUUGGAACCGUCGCCUAGUGAGUGACGGCGAUAGGGGGGUCCUUCCCACACGACCCAAAAACCGUCGGGGAUAGGGACCCUACAGUACUCCUAGCUAUUCGUUUGUGCUCGCAUUGCCAUCGCAGUCGGUAUUUUGUGGUGUUACGUUUACGAUGCGCGGUCCAUCACAAACGGAUCACUAUUAUAGAACGUGUAUGAUAAGCAUACAAUCACACACAUUAGUUUUUCCCAAACCGUAUGCGACAACUAAUUAAGAAGAUUAGCUAAUCGUCGUACGAGUGUUGGACAGGAUUACAAAACGUCGGACCGUCGUAAAAUCGUCGUACACGACGACUAUCGCACACGCUAUUCUGUGGUGCAACGUUUAUGAUGCAUACUUCAUCAAAAACAGUUCAUGGUUGUGAAUCGUGUACGAUAAGGCAACUAACACAAACGUUUAGUUUGCCCGCACCGUUUGUGAUAUUGUCUGACAUCGCACACGCUUUGCAAACGGCAACUGUGUGCAUGCUUACACACGUUUCCUCUAUGUGAACUGUCUCGGAUUAUGGUGUGUAUCGCAAAUGUUUGCGUUUUACCAACCGUGUGUGCUGUAAUGACUUGGAGAGCGUAAUUUCACCAUAAUUUAAUUGCUGCUAUUUCAAAUUGUACCGGAUUUGAAUUUGAAUGUAUGCUACAGCUAUAUUCAUAUCCAUCAGGUUCAAACAACCAAUGCAUUAUUCGAUUCAUAGGUACAUAUGUUCAAGAAUUACAUAAGAACCAAACAAAGAAUGAUGAGCCACCGUUGUAUACUUGUACUAUUAAAGGCGGUAAAGAAAGAGGCGAAAUACAUUAUGGUUGCUGAACAAGGUGAAGCGGAAUGCCCAUAUUGUGCCCUCCUCCAUGCAGAAGGCACGCACGACUCUAGUCCAACCACUUGUGACGACCGACCGCCCAUCCUUCACGGUCUUCAUGAAAACAUCUAGAUAAUCAUCGUAUUCUGGUAGAAAUACUUUAACCUUUGCAUGCCCACCAAUCAUGUAGUUUGAGAGGUAAUCUUGAGUAAACUGCUUUGGCAACCACUGCAAAGGAAAAAGAUUCAGACAUUGUCAUCUAACACAACUCAUUAUGGGCAGUAAAAAGAAGGCUGCUGAGUUCUUACUUACCAUCCUGCAGUUCGCUGUUGUCUUCGAUAAAGUGUAAACAAAUAGUUUAAUUGCCAUCUUUAGAACCAUUUUACUAACAAUCUUUAUCAGCUUCCUCACUUGAUGAUGGUUCAUCGAUAUCUCAUUGCCCCAUACGCAGAAAGGGCCGAAGCACGGAUCUUUACCAAUGACAUAUGUACCUAAAAGCACCAAGUUAAUAUUAAAAGCUAAACAGCAAUUGCACAAUGAUGUAGUACAACACUCUUUUAUAAUAUCUUAUAACAUCCAAUAUACUCACAUAUUAGAUGAAUUAACAUCUUAUAUUAUGGGCCGGAAGGAGUUUAGUGCAUUCUUACAAAUUAUCGACUGAUUAACUGCUGCUGUAUCCAUGGGUUACAGUUAGUUUGAGCUAGUUUGGGCUCAAAUAACCCUAAAGUAUAUCUAAACAUGAGGGCUAGUUUGAGCUAGUUGCAUCUAUAACCCACCCAAAAAAACUAUCAACCCUAGAGGUGCUAAUUGGAGCUAGUUCUCCUAGUGCAUUUAUUGUCAAUCUAACCUGUCAUCCAAACAACUCUUUGGAUGGAGUUAGUUCAAGGUUAGUCAUGAGCUAGAAACUAACUCUAACCUCUAGCUAAGUUGAGUAUCCAAACAGGGUUGUGUUGUUGUUGUUGUUGCUGCUGCUCUUCUACGUAUAUCUAGACAUCAUCAGAACAUUAAUGUAACACUCUUCCUUGUUGCUAUGUAGCCUAGGAUAUAUUACAUAUGGCCCUAGUUAACCUAACGAUAAAUGGGUUGCAGAUAUAUCCAGUUAGAAGUUUGAUUCACCGAUUAGUCCCUUAUCAGCCCCCGGCCUAUAUGGUACCAGCUACCGAUAUCCUGAACACUGAGCAUAUAUAAGCCAUGGGAUGAAACUAACCUCGAUGGAAAAUAGCAGUCGUCCCAAAAUUGUCCUUCGUAGGUACAUCGAGAAGCAUGUUAAGCACAACAUGCUAAACAUCAACCAAAAUUAUCCAUGGCAGACAAAAUAAUCUCCAAAAGAUAGCUUCAGUGUGCAGGUUUAAGCAUGUUAGUAAAGCAAAACAAGUGGAAAGGUGUGUUAACUGCAACAGGCCUAACAUUUAACAACAAGCAAACAUAGUCAUUCAAACUGGUAUGGUGCCGGUCUAAGUACACUGGUUAUUGUUAAAAAAAGGGAAAGGCAUGUUAACUACAAGAUGCAGCAACCAAAUGUAGUCAUUCAUAGUGGUAUUGUUGAAACUGGUACUAAUGAAAUUGAACUGCACAGUUCAUACUUGCACAUAUAGAACAUCACGUUGUGAAUAACUGAAAUAAACAAGGCAUACUACAAACAACCAGAGAUAGCAUUUGAAACUGGACAUAUGCUAACUACAAACAACCGAACAAUCAAAUAACUUUAAAAGAGGCAUAUGCUAGCUAUAACAGGCUUAACAGCAAGCAAAUAUAUGCAUUCCUAUUGGUAUGUUUAAAACUGGAUUGAUGAAAUGUACUGCGCAGUAAAUAAUUGCACAUAUAGAGCAUCACAUUGUGAACAACUGAAAUAAACAAGGCAUACUGCAAACAACCAGAUAUAUCAAUUAAAACUGGACAUAUUCUCACUACACUACAAAAGGGACUCGACAAAACAAAUCAUGGGUUUCCCCUUGUGAAGAGGCACGACAAAACAAAUCAUGGGUUUCCUCACUUGUCACAGAUGGGCUCGUUCCCGUGGGAAGAGCAUGGACCCUGGAUGCGCUCCAUGUUGUCGCAGAUGGGCUCCUUCCCCUUGGAAGAGCAUGGUUGUAGGGUUCCCUCCCUGAUGUCGCAGACGGGCGCUUUCCCCUUGGAAGAGCAGAUGGGCUCUUUCCCCUAGGAAGAGCCGGAGAGGGUGCCCUCCUCGUGGUCGCCGUCGAUGAGGUCUGACUUGGAAGUUGUGGAUCCCAAGCCAGCGUCGCAGAACGUGUCCUUCAGAAAUGACAAAAGGGGCUCGAUGGCGAUGUAGGAUGGCAAAUUGUUGACAGCGAGCCAGAGGAGAUCAGUGGCGGGGCCAUGGAUGAGAUCGACGGCGGUUGAACCCGAGGGGUUGGGGGUGGGCCACUUAACCUGUGACAUAGCCCGCCUCAGGACAUCGCUGUCGAUGACCUCGAUGUCAUAGCCAGCGGCCGAGACAUGCCCGCAUACUCUAGCCCGCUGCUUGAGUGUCUGCCGCCAGUAAUGGUCGUCACCUUCCUCGGCGACGUCGGGCGAAGAGAUCGCGAUACACCUCUUUUGGGCCAGUCGCUCCUCGAGCUCCACGGGAAGCGUAGCCGGGCUUAGGCUGCGACAAUCUGGAGUGGGGGAUGGGGAUGGAUAUGGGGAUCUGUGGAAAAGGGGCGUUUGGCAGGCGUCAUCUAAGAAACUCAGGGCAGCCUGGGUAUGGAGAUCGGUGGGUAAGCUGCACGGGCAAACCGACAGAUGUUGACAAUGGAGGCCUUGCGGCGGCGGCGGGGGGGACCUUGCUAGGGUUUCGAGCGAGGGAGGGGGUGUGUGUGUGCACAUGCCCGAGGAGGUUUUGGUGUGUGUGUGGAGGGGGGCGGGGGGUGUUUGAGGAAAUGACGCGGUUACUGAAAAUUUUACUACGCGGGAGUCAAACGCGGGAGUGAAAUGCCGGGGCUAUUGAAAAUUUUGCUGACGGUGCAUCGCACACAGUCCGGAGAUAACAAUUGUGUGUUAUGAAACAGAAAAACCCUCGAGCCGGGCAGAUAUUCUCGAGGGAUGCAGGCGGGAUUGGGAACAAGAAAUAGCACACACGGUCGAAACACAAUAACCGUGUGUUAUCAAACAGAAAAAAGCUACAUGCGACGGGUAGAUAUUUUUGAGAGGGGAAGCCUCGUGGAGCCCAAUGCACACGGUUAGUUUGAGUGAACCGUGUCUGUUGCGUCAUCCGACUUGUCUAAUGUUCAUAAAUUUGGCUAAAAAUGACGCGGGAGAGGGUCAGAACACGAACAAACUUGCUGUGGACCAAAUUUAUGUAUGAAAAGGGUGGUUUGAUUUUCAAAUACCAAAUGCAACUUUGAUGUGGCACCUAUCUCGCAAAGCGCACGGUAUUGCUUGCCCCCACCCCCCUCGUGUCGGCACAAAGGGAAUCCUAAGCUAUGAAUGCAUGCCCCCUCCCCCCCAACCGAGAUUCACCUAGAAAAGUGCGAAGUAGCUAGCAGCCCCCCUCCCUCGUGUCGGCACGAAGGGAAUCCUAAGCCAUGAAUGCAUGCCCCCCCAACCGACGUUCACCUAGCAAAGUGCGAAGUAGCUAGCAGCCACCCCCUCGUGUCGGCACGAAGGGUAUCCUAAGCUAUGAAUGCAUGCCCCCAACCGAGGUUCACCUAGCAAAGUGCGAAGUAGCUGGUGAUGACCCACAAGUAUAGGGGGUCAACUGUAGCUCUUUUCGAUAAGUAAGAGUGUCGAACCCAACGAGGUGUAGGAGGAAAUGACAAGUGGUUUUCAGCAAGGUAAUGUCUGCAAGUGCUGAAAUUGUAAGUAGCAGAGUAGUUUGAUAUCAAGAUAAUUUGUAAUGAGCAAGAAACGGUAGUAGUAACAAAAGUGCUUUAAGGUAGUCCAAUCCUUUUGAGGCAAAGGACAGGUCAAAACGGUCUCUUAUGAUAAGCAAAGCGUUCUUGAGGGUACACGGCAAUUUCAUCUAGUCACUUUCACCAUGUUGGUUUAAUUUGUGUUCGCUACUUUGAUAAUUUGAUAUGUGGGUGGACUGGUGCUUAGGUGUUGUUCUUACUUGAACAAACCUCCUACUUAUGAUUAACCCUCCCGCAAGCAUCCGCAACUACGAGAAAAGUAUUAAGAAUAAAUUCUAACGAUAGCAUUAAACUUUUGGAUCCAAUUGGUCCCUUACGGAAUAAUGCGUAAACUGGGGUUUAAGCUUCUGUCACUCUCGCAACCCAUCAUCUAAUUGCUACUCCACAAUGCAUUCCCUUAGGCCCAAAUAUGGUGAAGUGUCAUGUACUGGACGUUCACAUGACACCACUAAGGGAAUCACAACAUACAUACUAUCAAAAUAUCGAACACAUAUCAAGUUCACAUGAUUACUUGCAACAUGAUUUCUCCCGUGACCUCAAGAACAAAAGUAACUACUCAUAAAUGAUAAUCAUGCUCAAGAUCAGAGGGGUAUUAAAUAGCAUAUUGGAUCUGAACAUAUAAUCUUCCACCAAAUAAACCAUAUAGUAAUCAACUACAAGAUGUAAUCAACACUACUAGUCACCCACAAGCACCAAUCUAUAGUUCCGGUAACAAGAUUGAACACAAGAGAUGAACUAGGGUUUGAGAUGAGAUGGUGCUAUUGAAGAUGUUGAUGGAGAUAGUCGUCCCCAAGAUGGGAGAGUUGUUGGUGAUGAUGAUGGCGAUGAUUUCCCCAUCCGGGAGGGAAGUUCCCCCGGCGGAAUCGCUCCACCGGAGGGCAAAAGUGCUCCUGCCCAAGUUCCGCCUCGAGACGGCGACGCUCCGUCACGAAAGUCUUCUCCUUAUUUUUUUUCUAGGUCAAAAGGACCUAUAUACUAGAAGAUGGGCACCGAAGGUGGGUCUGGGUGAGCACAACCCACCAGGGCGCACCUGGGCUCCCUGGCACGCCCAGGUGGGAUUUGUAACACCCUGAGAAUCAUGCUACAGUAACCCCCUGUGAUUAAGCUAAUCAUGUUGCUAAACAGGGCUUGAUCACAUUUGAACCACACCCCUGUCAAACUCCUAGUUCAAACUUCAAAUAUAAUUAAAGUGAAAAAUAAAAGUUUUCAAAAACUCAAACAAAAAUGUUCUGUGGGUGCUAAAUAAUACACUGGCAAUUAUGGUGGAGAAAACUCCUUUUUAUAAAAUGCCUAAAUACUUUAAAUGAAAUAAAACAGAAAAGGAAAUAAACAAAUAAAAAGAAAACAGAAAACAGAAACAGUCAGAGAAAAGAAAAAAAAAAAGGGGAGCAGGCCUUCCCCCCCACUGGACCCGUGGCCCAUCUGCACCGAACCCCCCCCGGCCCAAACUGGGCCGCACCCCCGCGCCCCCGGCCCAGCCCACCUCCUCCCUCGCCCCUUCCCUGUUCCCCCGACCCNNNNNNNNNNCUCCGCUAGCUCGCCCACGCUCCCUAGCUUUUCCCCCACGCGCGCCCGAACGCCGCGCCGCGGAGCUCGCCGCCGGCGGGUCUCCGGUGACCAAAUGGUCACGGGCUCAAGCUCACAGCGCUCCCCACCGCACGUAGAAGCUCCCCAGCCCCUCCGCUUGCUCGACCGCCUGCCGUAGCCCUGUUUCCGUCGGGCACCCGUGCGCGCCGCCGCCUCCGCCGCUCGCCGGCGCCGAUUCCGGCCGAGUCCGGCGAAGCCCCGGCCACCCCUGGAUGCGGCGCUGCGAGUUCUUUCGAAUGGGCCUAGCCCCGUUCCUCCCCGAGCCCCGUAGCGCAAUUCCGGCCAACUCCGGCGAGGGACCGCCGCGGUUUUGGUCGCCGGAGUUGCGCCGGCGCCGGCCGCCGACGUGGCACACCUGGGGCCACCCCCUGGGUCACUGCCAGUGGCCCCCACGGUCCCCAGUUGACUGGGUUGACCCAGUCAACUGCUGACUGGGCAGGCCCAGUCACUGACAUGCGGGCCCCGCCGCAAAAAUUAAAAAAGAAAAUGUUUUAUAAAUAAAAAUAAUUAGUUUAAUUAAUCUCUCACUGACAGGUGGGCCCAGUAGUUAAUUAACUAAAAACUAAUUAGUUUAAUCCUCUGUUAACCCACUGUCUAUGACAGGUGGGUCCCCCUUGUCAGUUUGACCAGUCAACCCGGACUGUUGACCGCCGACGUCACUCAUACGUCAUGCUGACGUCAUAUCCCUUUUUCUGUUAAUUAAAUAAUUCCAGAAAUUCAAAUAAACUUUGAAAAUUCAUAUCUUUUAAACCGUAACUCGGAUGAAAAUGUUUUCUAUAUGAAAGUUGCUCAGAACGACGAGACGAAUCCGGAUACGCAGUCCGUGCGUCCACCACACCUCCCUAACCUAUCGAACUCGCAACUUUCCCCCUCCGGUCCUUCUGUCCGAAAACGCAAAACAUCGGGAAUACUUUCCCGGAUGUUCCCCCCUUCACCGGUACCACCUACUGUCGCGUUAGGACACCCCUAGCACCGCUCACUGUCAUGUCACGCAUCGUCAUGCUUGUGUUUGCAUUGUAUUUACUGUUUCUUCCCCCUCUUCUCUCCGGUAGACUACGAGACCGACUGCCGCUGCCCAGUUCGACUACGGAGUCGACGACCCCUCCUACUUGCCAGAGCAACCAGGCAAGCCCCCCCCCUUGAUCACCAGAUAUCGCCUACUCUUCUCUAUACUGCUUGCAUUAGAGUAGUGUAGCAUGUUACUGCUUUUCGAUAUCCUAUUCUGAUGCAUAGCCUAUCCUUGCUACUACUGUUGAUACCUUUACUUGCAAUCCUACAUUCUUAGUAUAGGAUGCUAGAUUUCCAUCAGUGGCCCUACAUUCUUGUCCGUCUGCUGUGCUACACUAUCGGGCCGUGAUCACCUGGGCGGUGAUCGCGGGUAUAUACUUAUAUACUAUAUACAUGACACAUGUGAUGACUAAAGUCGGGUCGGCUCGUAGGAGUACCCGCAAGUGGAUCUUUGUGGCGGAGCGACAGGGCAGGUUGAGACCGCCUAGGUAAGAGGUGGGCCUGGCCCUGGUCGGCGUUCGCGAAUACUUAACACGCUUAACGAGAUCUUGGUAUUUGAUCUGAGUCUGGCCAUUUGGUCUAUACGCACUAACCAUCUACGCGGGAGUAGUUAUGGGUAUCCCGGCGUCGUGGUAUCAGCCGAAGCCUUCGUGACGUCAGCGACUGAGUGGCGCGCGCCGUGUUGGACCGCUUUGACGUAACCGCCGUGAUCGUGUGGGUUGCUAGGUCUGCUCGCGGCCGCGUUCGCAACGUGCAGGUGUGCAUAGGGCGAUGGGCCCAGACCCCUGCGCGCUUAGGAUUAGACCGGCGUGCUGACCGCUCUGUUGUGCUUAGGUGGGGCUGCGAUGCGUUGAUCUUACGAGGCCGGGCAUGACCCAGAAAAGUGUGUCCGGCCAAUUGGGAUCGAGCGUGUUGGGUUAUGUGGUGCACCCCUGCAGGGAAGUUUAUCUAUUCGAAUAGCCGUGUCCCUCGGUAAAAGGACGACCCGGAGUUGUACCUUGACCUUAUGACAACUAGAACUGGAUACUGAAUAAAAUACACCCUUCCAAGUGCCAGAUACAACCCGGUGAUCGCUCUCUAACAGGGAGACGAGGAGGGGAUCGCCGGGUAGGAUUAUGCUAUGCGAUGCUACUUGGAGGACUUCAAUCUACUCUCUUCUACCUGCUGCAAGAUGGAGAUGGCCAGAAGCGUAGUCUUCGACAGGACUAGCUAUCCCCCUUUUAUUCUGGCAUUCUGCAGUUCAGUCCACUGAUAUGCCCCUUUACACAUAUACCCAUGCAUAUGUAGUGUAGCUCCUUGCUUGCGAGUACUUUGGAUGAGUACUCACGGUUGCUUCUCUCCCUCUUUUCCCCCUUUUCUUUUCUAUCUGGUUGACACAACCAGAUGCUGGAGUCCAGGAGCCAGACGCCACCGUCGACGACGACACCUACGACAUUGGAGGUGCCUACUACUACGUGCAGGCCGCUGACGACGACCAGGAGUAGUUAGGAGGAUCCCAGGCAGGAGGCCUGCGCCUCGUUCGAUCUGUAUCCCAGUUUGUGCUAGCCUUCUUAAGGCAAACUUGUUUAACUUAUGUCUGUACUCAGAUAUUGUUGCUUCCGCUGACUCGUCUGUGAUCGAGCACUUGUAUUCGAGCCCUCGAGGCCCCUGGCUUGUAUUAUGAUGCUUGUAUGACUUAUUUAUGUUUUAGAGUUGUGUUGUGAUAUCUUCCCGUGAGUCCCUGAUCUUGGUCGUACACAUUUGCGUGCAUGAUUAGUGUACGGUCAAAUCGGGGGCGUCACAGUUGUGCCCACUUGGCGGGCCCCCUCUGGUAGUUAUUUUCUCCAAUAUUCCUCAAAUAUUCCAUAAAAACUCUCCGUGAAGUUUCAGCUUAUUUGGAGUUGUGCGAAAUAGGUAGCCUGACGUAGCUUUUCCAGGUCCAGAUUUCCAGCUACCGGAAUUCUCCCUCUUUGUGUGUACCUUGCAAAUUAUGAGAGAAAAAGGUAUUAGAAUUACUCCACAAAAGCAUUAUUAUGGAUAAAAACAUCAUAAAUAACAGUAAGGAAACAUGAUGCAAAAUGGACGUAUCAACUCCCCCAAGCUUAGACCUCACUUGUCCUCACGCGAAAACCGAAAUCGAAAAACAUGUCCACAUGCUUAGAGAGAGAGGUGUCGAUAAAAACAAAAUACGGACAUAGAAGCAUCAUGUUCAUUAUUAUAACAGCAACAAAUUUAAACAUAAAACUUUUAUCAUAGACUUCUCACGAAUAAGUAACAAUUCAUCACACAAUCGAAGUAUAAAGCAUAAACUCUAUUAGAAACCAACAAACUAUGUUCUCAGUCAACUUUGCAACUACAAUUCAUCAUCUUUUCAGGAAGGGUCACGUAUCGGAGCCUUUUAGGCAAGUCCACAUACUCAACCAUCAUAUAGUCUUCUAUGAUUGCUAACACUCACCGCGUACACAUGAGCAAAACGUUUCAACUGGACACAUAAGAAGAUAGGGGCUUAUAGUUUCGCCUCCCAACGUAUUCACCUCACGGGUGAUGUCAACAAUAAUAACUCAUGCUAUCUAUAUUCAACUGGACAUAUGUGCCUAGAUCUUUCCUCACUACAUGAUGCUUGCCAAAGGAGAAAAUAAAAAAAAGAAUAGAGGGAAAACUUUUACUCUUUGCAUAAAAGUAAAUACAUAAAGUAAAAGAUAGGCCCUUCGCAGAGGGAAGCAGAGGUUGCCAUGCGCUUAUUUGUUUGUAUGCUCAACCCCUUAGUGCAAAAGAACGUCACGUUGCAUUGCCCCUUGUGAUAGCGACCUUUAUUAUGCAGUCUGUCGCUUUUAUUCUUCACCAUCACAAGUUCGUGCAACGCUCAAUUUUCUCUUACACUAAAUGAUCUUACACUUUUAGAAGCAAUUUUAUUGCCUUUUUGCACCGAUGACAACUUACUUGAGGGAUCUUGCUCAAUCCCUAGGUAGGUAUGGUGGACACUUGAAAAUAAGAUUUGAGUUUAAGGGUUUUUGGAUGCACAAGUAGUAUCUCUACUUAGUGCGGAAUUUUUGGACAGCAAAGAUAGGAGGCAAGCACCACAUGUUAAAGGAUCUAUGACAAUAUGAGUUCUGUGUGAAUAUAAACAUACAUAAACCAUUAAGUUGUCUUCCUUGUCCAACAUCAACAAUUUUGGCAUAUAAUAUUUUGAUGAGGGCUCACAAUCACAAAAGAUUUCUAUGAUAGUAUAUUUAUAUGUGAAUCUUCUCUUCCCUUAUUAAUUCUUUCAUGAGUUGCAUCAUUGACUAAUGUUAUGUUUGUCAAUCUCUAAUAAAAUUUUCUACUUAUACUUUUCCUUAUGUGGUGUCAUCACCUACCAUAAGAUUAGUAUAUGAUCUUCUUGAUUUAUUUCCUUUCUUUAAUUUGUUUCCUUUCUCUUUUUCUUCCUUAUUUCUUUUCUUUUAUUUGCAACAUGAAAUUAAAGAAAGCAAAAACUCAAACUAACUUUAUUAUAUAUCUUGCACAUGAUUACAAGGAUAGAUCACUAAGCAAACUCUUAACGAGGAAAGGAUCAAACUAAACUUUUAUUCAUCUAAAGCAAAAGAUCGAACUAAAAUAAGUAAAGGCAAAAAGAUAGUGGGAUGAUACGAUACCGGGGCACCUCCCCCAAGCUUGGCGGAAGCCAAGGGGAGUGCCCAUACCCGAUACUCAAUUUUCCUUUGGUGGUGAAGAAGAAGGUGGUGGCGGUGGUGAAAAAGUAGAGGGUUUGCCCUUCGCUUCCUCCAGCUUCUGACGGAGAAUAAAAUUAUCUAUCCUCAACUCGUCGUUAUCUAUCUCAAGUUUUAUUAUCCUCUUGCAUAACGCCUCCAUGCUUUCGUUUUUGAACCGGGGAGAAACUGAUUCAUCUUCAUCUUCUUCGGAGGUCUAGCUAUAGUGCCCCUCAUCCCCAUAGGAUUUGGGGUUUGCGAUGAAAUCAACAACAUAGCGCUCACCCUCAGAGUCUUGGGAUGACAUAUUUUCAGAUCUAACAGGAAAACAGCAAGAAAAGAGAACAUAGGAUUUCUCCUCGAUACGGUGGUUAACAGGUUCGGGAAGUAUAUAUAGAUUUUUUUAUCCUGGGGGACAAGCAAACGGAAGAAAACGGAGUCCGAGAGCUGUCCCAGGUGGGCACAACCCACCUGGGCGCGCCAGGCGCGCGCCCUGGUGUCUUGUGCCCACCAGGGUACGCUUCUUGGAAGUUUCUUAUUUUUCUAGAUAUUCCAAAACUGACAAAAAAUAUUUUUGCAAAUUUUUCAAAGUCCGUUUACUUACCGUAUCACGUACCUCCUUAUUUCACGAUUCUGGAGUGUUCUAGAAGGACUCUUUUAUGUGUUCUUCCGGUGUCAAAGUUUGGAUAAUAUUACUUCCAACAUUAAUGGGCGUACCUGAGAUAUAAUGUUUUAUUCGUUGCCCAUUGACAACCUUUGGGUUAGUACCUUCGGCAUUAUUUAUUUUGAUGGCUCCAGACCGGUAAACCUCCUCGAUAACAUAGGGGCCUUCCCAUUUUGAGAGGAGUCUGCAAAGAAUCUGAAACGAGAGUUGUACAAAAGAACAUAUUCUCCGACUUUAAACUCAUGCUUUUGGAUUCUUUUGCCAUGCCAUCUUUUAACUUUUUCUUUGCAUAAUUUUGCAUUUUCAUAAGCUUGGGUUCUCCAUUCAUCUAAUGAACUAAUAUCAAAUAACCUCUUUUCACCAGCAAGUUUGAAAUCAUAGUUGAGCUCUUUGAUGGCCCAAUAUGCUUUAUGUUCUAACUCAAGAGGCAAAUGACAAGCUUUUCCAUAAACCAUUUUAUAAGGAGACAUACCCAUAGGAUUUUUAUAUGCCGUUCUAUAAGCCCAAAGUGCAUCAUCUAAUUUCUUAGACCAAUUCUUCCUGGACCUAUUGACAGUCUUUUGCAAAAUUAAUUUUAUUUCUCUAUUGCUAAGUUCAACUUGACCACUAGACUGAGGAUGAUAAGGUGAUGCAAUUCUAUGGUUAACAUCAUACUUGGCAAGCAUUUUACGAAAAGCACCAUGAAUAAAGUGUGAACCACCAUCAGUCAUUAAAUAUCUAGGGACUCCAAACCUUGAGAAAAUAACUUCCUUAAGCAUUUUAAUAGAGGUGUUGUGAUCAGCACUACUAGUUGGAAUAGCUUCUACCCAUUUAGUAACAUAAUCAACAGCAACCAAAAUAUGUGUAUACCCAUUAGAGGAAGAAAAAGGUCCCAUGUAAUCAAAUCCCCAAACAUCAAAUGGUUCAACAGCAAGUGAAUAAUUCAUAGGCAUUUCUUGACGCUUACCGAUAUUACCUAUUCUUUGACAUUCAUCACAAGAUAAGACAAACUUACGGGCAUCCUCGAAGAGAGUAGGCCAAUAAAAUCCAGAUUGCAAUACCUUGUGAGCAGUUCUAUCUCCAACAUGAUGCCCUCCAUAAGCUUCGGAGUGACAUUUCCGUAGGAUUUGUCCCUGUUCAUGCUCAGGUACACAACAUCUAAUAAUACCAUCCACUCCUUCUUUAUAAAGAUGUGGGUCAUCCCAAAAGUAGUGUCUUAAAUCAUAGAAGAUUUUUUUCUUUUGUUGGUAUGUAAAGCUAGGUGGUAAAUAUUUAGCAACAAUGUAAUUCGCAUAGUCAGCAUACCAAGGAGUAUUAUUAGCAACAUUUAUUGCAGCUAACUGCUCAUCAGGAAAACUAUCAUCGAUAGGUAGUGGGUCAUCAGGCAAAUUUUCUAGCCUAGACAAGUUAUCAGCUACGGGGUUCUCAACUCUCUUUCUAUCAGUGAUCUGUAAAUCAAAUUCUUGUAGCAAGAGAACCCAUCGAAUGAGUCUAGGUUUAGCAUCUUUCUUUUCCAUAAGAUAUUUAAUAGCAGCAUGGUCUGUGUGAACAAUUACUUUGGAAUCAACAAUAUAUGGUCUAAAUUUAUCACAAGCAAACACCACUGCUAAGAAUUUUUUUCAGUAGUAGCAUAGUUUCGUUGAGCACUGUCUAGAUUUUUACUAGCAUAAUGAAUAACAUUCAGUUUCUUAUCAACUCUUUGUCCUAGAACAACACCAACAGCAUAAUCACUAGCAUCACACAUAAUUUCAAAAGGUAAGUUCCAAUCAGGUGGUUGAACAAUAGGUGCAGAAAUUAAGGCUUUCUUGAGUGUUUCAAAGGCUUCUAAACAAUCAUCAUAAAAAACAAAAGGAAUAUCCUUUCGCAAUAGACUCGUGAGAGGCCUAGAAAUUUUAGAAAAUUCUUUGAUAAAUCUCCUAUAGAAACCAGCAUGACCUAAGAAACUACGGAUACCUUUGAUAUCUUUAGGACAUGGCAUUUUCUCAAUUGCAUCAGCCUUAGCUUUAUCCACUUCAAUACCUCUUCCAGAAAUUUUAUGACCCAAGACAAUGCCUUCAUUAACCAUAAAGUGACACUUCUCCCAAUUCAAGACAAGAUUUGUUUGUUCACAUCUCUGCAAAACUCGAUCAACAUUUCUUAAACAAUCAUCAAAAGACUUCCCAUAAACAGAGAAGUCAUCCAUGAAAACCUCAACAAUCUUUUCACAAAAGUCAGAGAAUAUAGCAGUCAUACAUCUUUGAAAGGUAGCAGGUGCAUUGCAUAAACCAAAAGGCAUACGUCUAUAAGCAUAAGUUCCAAAGGGACAAGUAAAAGUGGUCUUUUCUUGAUCAGGUUGAGAAACAGGUAUUUGUGAAAAAACAGAAUAUCCAUUAAGGAAGCAAAAAUGUGUGUGCUUAGAUAAUCUUUCAAGCAUUUGAUCAAUAAAAGGCAAAUGGUAAUGAUCUUUUCUAGUUGAUUUGUUUAGUUUUCUAAAAUCAAUUACCAUUCUAUAGCCUGUAACAAUUCUUUGUGGAAUAAGCUCAUUCUUAUCAUUAGGAACAACAGUUAUACCUCCUUUCUUAGGGACACAAUGAACAUGACUUACCCAUCUACUAUCAGCUAUAGGAUAGAUUAUACCUACUUCCAGAAGUUUUAAUAUUUCCGUUCUUACCACUUCCUUCAUCUUUGGAUUUAACCGACGCUGAUGAUCAACAACGGGUUUAGCAUCAGGUUCCAUAUUAAUUUUGUGCUGACAUAGAGUGGGACUAAUGCCCUUUAAAUCAUCAAGAGUAUAUCCAAUGGCAGCUCGGUGCUUCCUUAGAACUUAAUAAUCUUUCUUCUUCAUGUUCUAAAAGGUUAGCACUAGUAAUAACAGUAUAUAUCUUCUUUUCAUCAAGAUAAGCAUAUUUCAAAGUGUUUGGCAAUUGUUUUAAUUCAAACACAGGAUCACCUUUAGGUGGAGGAGGACCUCCUAGAGUUUCAAUAGGCAAAUUGUGUUUAAGUAGAGGACGUUGUUCAAAGAAAAUCUUAUCUAUUUCAUUUCUUUCAUGCAUAUGUAAAUCAUUUUCAUGGUCUAGCAAAUAUUGUUCUAGAGGAUCAGUAGGUGGUACAGCAAUAGAAGCAAGACCAACUAAUUCAUCUUUACUAGGCAAUUCUUUUUCAUGAAGCUUUCUACUAAACUUGGAAAAAUAAAAAUCAUGAGACUCAUCGCCAAAACUAACACCGACAGUUUGUUUCUCACAAUCUAUCUUAGCAUUAACGGUGUUCAAGAAAGGUCUACCAAAGAUAAUGGGGCAAAAGUCAUCUUGUGGGGAACCAAGAACAAGAAAAUCAGUAGGAUAUUUUAUCUUUCCACACAAGACUUCAACAUCUCUAACAAUCCCAAUUGGUGAUAUGGUGUCUCUAUUAGCAAGCUUAAUAGUAACAUCUAUGUCUUCUAUCUCUGCGGGUGCUAUGUCAUUCAUAAUUUCUUGAUGUAAGGUGUAAGGAAUAGCACUCACACUAGCACCUAUGUCACAUAAACCAUGAUAACAAGUGAUCUCCUAUUUUAACUGAGACAACAGGCAUGCCAAAAACAGGCCUAUGUUUAUCCUUUUUAUCAGGUUUGGCAAUUCUAGCAGCUUCUUCAUAGAAGUAAAUAACAUGCACAUCCAUAUCUUCUUCUAAGAGAUCUUUGACCAUAGCAAUACUAGGUUCUACUUUGAUUUGUUCAUCAGGUUUAGGUGUUCUAAUAUAGCUUUUGUUAACCACAGUUGAAACUUUAGCAUGUUCCUUUAUCCUAACAGGGAAAGGUGGUUUCUCAAUAUAAGCAGAAGGAACAACUGGAUCAACAUUGUAAAGUAUAGUUUCUUCUUUAACUGGUAUUGGUUCUUUGAUUUCUUCUUUAAUAGGUGGGUGAUAUUUAAACCAUUUCUCUUUAGGGAGAUCAACAUGAGUAGCAAAUGAUUCACAGAAGGAGGCUACUAUCUCAGAGUCAAGUCCAUAUUUAGUGCUAAACUUUUGAAAAGCAUCGGUAUUCAUAAAAGAUUUAACACAACCAUACUUAAGUUUAAUACCUGGCUCUUUACCUUCGUCGAGUUCGCAAUCUUCAGAGUUGCAUUUAAUUCUUUCCAAAAGAUCCCACCGUAAUUCAAUAGUCUUUUUCAUAAAAGAACCAGCACAAGAAGUAUCAAUCAUGGUUUGAUCAUUACGAGAAAGCCGAGCAUAAAAGUUUUGGAUAAUAAUUUCUCUUGAAAGCUCAUGAUUGGGGCAUGAAUAUAACAUUGAAUUAAGCCUCCCCCAAGCUAGAGCGAUACUUUCUCCUUCACAAGGCCAAAAAUUAUAUAUAUAAUUCCGAUCAUGAUGAACUAGAUACAUAGGAUAAAUUUUUGGUGGAACUCCAAUUUCAGUCGAUUCCAAUUCCAAGAUCCAAUAUCAUCGCAUAGCCUAUACCUUGCCAAUGCUUUUCCCUUCAAAGAUAAAGGGAAAAACUUUUUCAUAACUUCAUCUCCGGGUAAACCUGCAAGCUUGAACAAUCCACAAAUUUGUUCUACAUAUAUCAAGUGCAUAUAAGGAUGUUCGGUUCCGUCUCUGAUAACCCACAAGUAUAGGGGAUCGCAAUAGUUUUCGAGGGUAGAGUAUUCAACCCAAAUUUAUAGAUUCGACACAAGGGGAGCCAAAGAAUAUUUGUAAGUAUUAGCAGCUGGGUUGUCAAUUCAGCCACACCUGGAUAUUAAUUAUCUGCAGCAAAGUGAUCAGUAGCAAAGUAGUUUGAUAGUAGUAACAGUAGCAACGGUAACAGUAACAGUGAUAGCAGUAUUUUGUAGCAAGUGCAACAGUAACGAUAGUAGUAGUAACUUAGCAAGAACAAUAUAAGAUAAAUUCGUAGGCAUUGGAUCGGUGACUUGUUGGAUGAUAUUCAUCAUGAGACAGUUAUAACCUAGGAUGAUAUGGCACUAGCUCCAGUUCAUCAAUAUAAUGUAGGCAUAUAUUCCGUAAAUAGUCAUACGUGCUUAUGGAAAGAACUUGCAUGACAUCUUUUGUCCUACCCUCCCGUGGCAGCGGGGUCCUAUUGUAAACUAAGGGAUAUUAAGGCCUCCUUUUAAUAGAGAACCGGAACAAAGCAUUAACACAUAGUGAAUACAUGAACUCCUCAAACUACGGUCAUCACCGUGAGUGGUCCCGACUAUUGUCACUCCGGGGUUGCCGGAUCAUAACACGUAGUAGGUGACUAUAACUUGCAAUGUCGGAUCUAGAACAUGGAUAUAAUGGUGAUAACAUAAACGGUUCAGAUCUGAAAUCAUGGCACCCGGGCCCAAAGUGACAAGCAUUAAGCAUAGCAAAGUCAUAGCAACAUCAAUCUAAGAACAUAGUGGAUACUAGGGAUCAAGUCCUAACAAAACUAACUCGAUUACAUGAUGAAUCUCAUCCAACUCCUCACCGACCAGCGAGCCUACGAAGGAAUUACUCACUCCCGGUGGGGAGCAUCAUGGAAUUGGCGAUGGAGAAGGGUUGGUGAUGACGAAAAACGAAGAUCCCCCUCUUCGGAGCCCCAAACGGACUCCAGAUCUGGCCUCCCGAUGAAGAAUAGGAGGUGACGGCGGCUCCGUCUCGUGGAUCGCGAUAAUUCUUUCUCCCUGAUUUUUUUCUGGAAAAAUAGGAUUUUAUAGCGUCGGUUUCAGGGUCUACGGGGCCACCAGGUGGGGACAAUCCACCUGGGCGCGCCUGGUGAGGGGGCGCCCUAGUGGGUUGUGCCCACCCAGGUGCACCCCUUCGGUAGGUCUUGGCUCCAGAAAUUUUCUUAUUUGAUAUAAAAAUUCCUCGCAAAGUUUUGUUCCAUUCCGAGAACUUUUAUUUUUGCACAAAAACAACACCAUGGUAGUUCUGCUGAAAACAACGUCAGCCCAGGGUUAGUUCAUUAAAAUCAUGCAAAUUAGAGUCCAAAACAAGAGGAAAAGCGUUAGGAAAAGUAGAUACAUUGGAGACGUAUCAGUCUCCUGCAUAAGGAUUAGCUAGCAGUUGUUCUAUCAUACCCGAAGGAAUUUCAUAUUCAAUAUUUUCAGUAGGUGCAGUAAGUUGAGGGAUAACUAAUUGUGGUUCUGGUCGAGGUGAAGAUACCCCGAACAAACCCCUCAAAGGAUUGUUUUCCAUAGUAACAAGUGACAAUAAAUUUCAGCACACUAUAUAAAUGUUUCCUUACCAAAGGCGCUUCACUCCCCGGCAACGACGCCAAAAAAUAGCCUUGAUGACCCACAAGUAUAGGGGAUCAAUUGUAGCUAUUUUCGAUAAGUAAGAGUGUCGAACCCAACGAGGAGCAGGAGGAAAUGACAAGUGGUUUUCAGCAAGGUAAUGUCUGCAAGUGCUGAAAUUGUAAGUAGCAGAGUAGUUUGAUAGCAAGAUAAUUUGUAACGAGCAAGUAACGAUAGUAGUAACAAAAGUGCAGCAAGGUAGCCCAAUCCUUUUGAGGCAAAGGACAGGCCAAAAUGUUAUCUUAUGAUAAGCAAAGCGUUCUUGAGGUUACACGGGAAUUUCAUCUAGUCACUUUCACCAUGUUGGUUUAAUUUGUGUUCGCUAUUUUGAUAAUUUGAUAUGUGGGUGGACCGGUGCUUAGGUGCUGUUCUUACUUGAACAAACCUCCUACUUAUGAUUAACCCUCCCGCAAGCAUCCGCAACUACGAGAAAAGUAUUAAGAAUAAAUUCUGACCAUAGCAUUAAACUUUUGGAUCCAAUCGGUCCCUUACGGAAUAGCGCAUAAACUGGGGUUUAAGCUUCUGUCACUCUCGCAACCCAUCAUCUAAUUGCUACUCCACAAUGCAUUCCCUUAGGCCCAAAUAUGGUGAAGUGUCAUGUACUGGACGUUCACAUGACACCACUAAGGGAAUCACAACAUACAUACUAUCAAAAUAUCGAACACAUAUCAAGUUCACAUGAUUACUUGCAACAUGAUUUCUCCCGUGACGUCAAGACCAAAAGUAACUACUCACAAAUGAUAAUCAUGCUCAAGAUCAGAGGGGUAUUAAAUAGCAUAUUGGAUCUGAACAUAUAAUCUUCCACCAAAUAAACCAUAUAGUAAUCAACUACAAGAUGUAAUCAACACUACUAGUCACCCACAAGCACCAAUCUAUAGUUCCGGUAACAAGAUUGAACACAAGAGAUGAACUAGGGUUUGAAAUGAGAUGGUGCUGUUGAAGAUGUUGAUGGAGAUAGCCCUUCCCAAGAUGGGAGAGUUGUUGGUGAUGAUGAUGACGAUGAUUUCCCACUCCGGGAGGGAAGUUCCCCUGGCGGAAUCGCUUCGCCAGAGGGCAAAAGUGCUCCUGCCCAAGUUCCGCCUUGAGACGGCGGCGCUCCGUCCCGAAAGUCUUCUCCUUAUUUUUUCUAGGUCAAAAGGACCUAUAUACUAGAAGAUGGGCACCGGAGGUGGGCCUGGGUGAGCACAACCCACCAGGGCGCGCCUGGGCUCCCUGGCGCGCCCAGGUGGGUUGUGCCCACCUGGUGGGCCCCCUCUGGUUGUUAUUUGCUCCAAUAUUCCUCAAAUAUUCCAUAAAAAUUCUCCGUGAAGUUUUAGCUUAUUUGGAGUUGUGCAGAAUAGGUAGCCUGACAUAGCUUUUCCAGGUCUAGAUUUUCCAACUGCCGAAAUUCUCCCUCUUUGUGUGUACCUUGCAAAUUAUGAGAGAAAAGGCAUUAGAAUUACUCCAAAAAGCAUUAUUAUGGAUAAAAACAUCAUAAAUAACAGUAAGGAAACAUGAUGCAAAAUGGACGUAUCAGCUAGCAGCCCCCCUCGUGUCGCCACGAAGGGAAUCCUAAGCUAUGAAUGCAUGCCCCUCCCAACCGAGGUUCACCUAGCAAAGUGUGAAGUACGUAGUAGUCCCCGCCCCCCACACACACUUUCAGUCGGCGGGCCAGAAAGGCAUAUCUCACCAAGAUGGAUUGUAAAACGGACCAAGAAUAAUCCACCUUGGUCGUACAACCUCUCUCUUGUUGUUGGUCAGAGUGAUGGCCAUCCAUGCAACCCCGUAGAUGGGCUCGCUCGCCAAUAAUCACGCAAGUAGCUAGUCCCCGAAGACAACCACUGCAUGCGUGUGGCCCAAACAUAUGUAUGGAGAGGUGUUUUUUUGAGUAACAAUGGAACAACUUUGAUGUGGCACCGUGAUUUCGAACUGGAAAUCCCCACACUGAGUGAGGGUUAGGUUGACGAUGCAUAUGUAUGUUACACCACACUUCAAGCCAACGACGGGGAUUCAUGCAUGCAUGCGUGCAUAGUAUAUGCACUCAAACUUAAUUACAUCUGAAUCUCACCAUGACCUACACUAUGAUAACACGAACCAAAUGAAGAAUCCGCCAUGGUAACCUAUCUUGUUGUCGGUCAAGGUGAUCAUGGAUGUCCACGCGGGCCCAUGAAUAUAUAGGCUUGUCGCCGAUAACCACGCGAGGGAGUGUACCGUUUGAAGGCAACCACCACAUGCAUAUGUAUGGAGGUGAUGCGUGCAUGCAUGUUUGAAUACCAUUUCACAACAUUGACGUGGCACGUGCGUCAAAAAUCAUACACUAGCUCCCCACACAGAGCAAGAUCAGUUCAUGACGUGUCGUUGUACUAGCCACUUCGACUCAAUGGGAGGGAUUCAUGCGUACACAUGCAUGUGUGUGUGCUCAAACUGUAUCAUGCAUGUCAUCCCAGAGCAUGACCUAUAUAUAUACCGUAUUACAAGCAAAAAAAUCCCCUCCUAAGUCAAAUUAACCUCUCUUGUUGUCAGGCAAAAAGUAGUGAUGGACCAAGCGGGCCCACAGAUGGAAAGCAUCGAUAUCGCUGAUAACCUCUUAAGUGGGUGCGAGAGGACAACCACCACCGCUUUGCAUGUGGGCCGAACAUAUAUAUGUUGAAUACCCAAAAUGCACAACUUUGAUGUGCCACAUGCCUCAAAAAACGUAACCCAUGCACCCACACAGAGCGAGGUUCAUGAAGCGUACUACAUAUGAUGGUCCCCUUCCCCCCUCUUCACCGCAUACUAUAUGCUCCUGCCGUAAUACAUACAACCCAAAAGAAUCAUCAUCGAUGGUGAAAUUAAUUAACCUCUCCCGAUGUAGGUCAAAGUGAUGCAUGCAUGCAUCGACGAUGGCCUCGUGGGCCCAUAGAUGGAAGCGUCACACGUAAGUGUCCUAGCUAGGAUAACCACCGCGUGCAUGCAUGUGGCCCAAAGAGGUGUUGUGUGAUGUUUGAAUAGCCAAUUUCACAAUUUUGAUGUGGCACGUGCCUCGGAAACCGAAAAGUCCCGACACUGAGUGAGGCGUACUUGUUCACGGACGCGUACGUAUAGUAUAUACGCUAGUCCCCUCCCACCUCUUCAACAAGUACUAUAUACCACCAUAACACAAACAAAAAAGAUUCUACCUUGCUGGUCAAAUUAACCUCACUGCGGGCUAUUCGUCAAAGUGAUGGACGACGACCAUCGCGGGGCCACAGAAAGCGUCACACGCGAGUAUCGAGUGUCGUGUAGGACAACCAUCGACUACAUGUGGCCAAAACAUGUAUGUAUGAAAGGGUUGUGUAAUGUUUUAAGUAACGAAUUCACGACUCUGAUGUGGCACCGGCCUGCCUAACAAAACGGCCGACCCACACGAUGGCUCACAACUCGUAGUGUACUGCGAGCCACCCACCACCCCCAGACGCACACACCCACACACACACACCGCGAAUCCACCGCAACUACGAUGCAUGUUAAAUUAAUUACCCCGCGGUGAACAUAUGUUACCAAAGGAGGGAUGUUUUAAUUUCGAAAAAAUCACAGAGAUCAUUAAGACGUUUUAGUACAUUAAUUGAUUGAUUUUCUACGGGUAUAAUAUGCAAAAAUCAAAUUUGAGCUACAUGCACACGUGACAGUGCACCUAAAUGGAUUGCAAAAACACAUGUGUCUCACUGGGUGCAUGUUUACUCCCCGUGCAACAAAUUUCAAACGUUGAGAAUCUUGAUUUUUAAAUUCUAGUACAUCAAAACUUAUUUGAAGUUAACGAAACUUAUCGUGUUGUCAUAUGGACACCAAUACAAAGUGGCAUUGUACUUUUUUGUCAAAUUUGAGACCAGUUUUGAUGUAAUCUUUAUCUAAUUACAAACGGGAGAUUAUUAUUAAUUGGGAACCAAUAUCCCAAAUGGAUUAUUUAUUCGAACCGUGAGCGUUAGACCAACAAUGGAUACGUGCCAUGCUUCGGUUAAGCAAUAAAGCGGCAUCAUUAAUCAUCAAAUAGAAAAAUAAUAUACGUGCCGCCGCGCGACCCGUGUGCCGUGCGAGCAGGCGUGAGUUGACGGGACACAUGCGAGCAGUCCAUCACACAGGCAAGCCGGGAGGCAUGCGUGCAGGUGUGUGAAUUGACGGAGGCGUGCUCGCUGCGCAGUGUCAUCGGGAGGCGUGCGAGUAGCUGUGUGAAACUUUGGUAGGCAUGCCAGCAGUCCGGUGCGCAGGCUCACCGGGAGGCGAGCCAUCGGUUUGACCGCCGCCCGCCUCUCUCCCACAACUCCCACUACUCCAUAUUAAUGGUGCGCCCGAGCGGCCGCACCCCCAUCCUUGCCACACACACAAUCCUCUCUCUCCGCUUGCAUUCUCGACGCCGCUCUCAGUCCUCAAAGCCGUCAGUGUAUGAGGAUGCCGCCGAAGCGCCCCAUCAGAGGGAGUGGCAACGCCGGGGCUGCUAAAGCACCGGAGCACGGCGUGGAGAUGGAGACAGAGGUUCCCGUCACCGCCGGCAAGUUAUCGCUGCACUCUGACGUCGUCGACGGCGUCGAGCUUCCACAGCCGGAGGCGGAGUUCCACACCGACUCUGGUGACAACCCCGGCGACGACUCCGACGACCACUCUGGCGACGACUCCGACGACGACGGACAGCUAGUUAGUCAUCUAUACCCAUUUAUGUGUCAAAUAGAUCAUAGGGUUUCUCUGGUUACUCCUGCCUCCCCCUUUUUGGAAUAGAAAUCCUAUGGUUAUGCUCUCCCAAUCCAUGAAAUCUGAGUAAGUUGCGUUAGAUCCGUGUAGUGUAUUGAUUGUUUGAAUGGUACAAGUGAUCAGUGGCGGAGCCAGGAUUGGCCGACGCCCCAGGCGAGAAACUAAGGGCUAAAAACUUCCCACAAAAACCACUAGUUUCAAGGCAUACAAAAGUCAAUCUAUGUUGCAUAACGAACAAGAACCCAAACAUACUAUUCAAAGGCAGUAUUUGUUCCAUGAUGGGUCAACUAAUAAAGCAAGACAAAUCAAAAAGACGAUAUGUAUUAUAGAUGAUACAAAAGAUUGAUACCAAAUCAAAGGAUCGAUUAAUCUGCGCCUCCCAUGACUACAUCUUCAAUAGCAGAAGAAGCUAAACCUUCAAAGAUACAUUUCGAAAUGCAUAUCAGUGCAUAAUAGUGGCAUCAAGCAACAACAGGUCAUGAUUUGGUUGGCAACUUGGCAUGAGCAAUGUACUGUUUGCUUGACAUUACUCGUAUUAAUCUGAACACCUAAAUGCAACAAUAAGAUAUCUGAAUGGCUGCUUCAUUCCUUCUUACGCUGCGCUAGCUUUAGAAUUUACUUGUGCACAUUAAUACUAGUACUGUAAGGCUGAUGCUUGAAUUCUUUUCAAAUGUGCAACAUCAUUUUAAAGCAUCAAUUGUAUGAUAUCAAUGAAACUACUUCCAUAAUUGGAGACAAAAACCUAUGAGUCCAAGUCAUAAACAGAGUACUGGACUAACAUUUGGAUAGAUAGUACAGCUAGAUCAUGAAUGCGAAAUUCAACUGGAUACAUAGUAACCUGAUGCCCUAGAAGGGGAUUUGGACGCCGGACAGGGCAGCAGCCCGCAGUGGCGCAACCUGCUGCCGCAGAAGGGGAUCGAAAGGGGCUUGCGGGGAGUGUGGUGGGGGGGAUGGAGCUGGCCGGCCGGGUAGGCACGACGGCAAGCGGCGGCUGCGGCGGGUAGGGACGCAGCCAUAGAGCCACGCCUCGUUCGUCCAAGUCGGGGAAAGGGGCGUCGGGCAGGCAGGCAGGCAACGAACAAAGGAGAUGGGCCUGCCUUACGCCCCAGGCCGCCUUCGUCCUAGUCUACAGGAGAUGGGCCUCACGCCCCAGGCAGCCGCCCGGGCUGCCUGGGGCCUGUCUCCGCCCAUGCAAGUGAUAAGUGAUUAGUUGUUUCAUCUGUGCAAAUGAUUUCUGCUAGUAAUCCGACUAGGGUUAGUGUUCGUGCUAAUAAUUCCUAGCCAGGACUUGACAAUUGAUUUUGAAUGACCUACAUAACUUUGUGCCAUUAUUUUCUUCAAGAUUGGUCUGUACAUAGAUGACCGUGCUUAAAAAUUGAACCAUAAUCUUUGGAUAUGUAUAAAUAAAUAGUCAUAAAUUCCUAAUCCUACUUCACGGCAUGUAAUCAUUGAUUUGAUGCCAAAUUUGUUUUACUAUUUGUAUAGGUGCUGUCUGACGAUGUGGACAACGAGGAUGAAGAUGGCCAGAGGAGGUACAAGAGGCAAAUCCCGAGGGAGCUUUAUGCGGGAAAGCAUAACAGGCGUAUUAGGACCUGGAACGGCGGCUAUCGAUGCCCAUUUUGCAACCACAAGCUUCAUGACGCGUAUCUAAGUGUUCUGGCGCAUGCAAGAGGACGAGCCGUUGGCUCCUUCAAGCAGAAGUAUUCUCGCAGGAUGAUGCAUGACGCGUACGCCAAGUACCUGGAGAAGCUUCAGGAUCGUGCCGGCAUGUGAUAUGAGAUGUGGGAUCGAACUAUGUAUGCUUGAGUAUGCUUAAUGACAGUUGAACUAUGUACUUAUGGUUGAACUAUGUUUGUGUACGUGUACGCUUAUUAUCUAUGUCUGAGUAUGUUUAAUCUAUGUUUACUUAUGUCUAAUCGUGGGAUAUGGAUGCAAUCAGUUCGGUUGAUGGAAUCUACCUCCGCCUUGGUUUAUUGGUCCCCAUUGUAAUUUGUGUUAAAUUUUGACCAAAGAUUUAACUGACAAAAUGUUAGUGCAGGUCAGCAAAAAUUAUAUCGUUGGAUGGGUAUUUGAGCAUAGUGUUCAAUGAUAUAAUUUUUGGUGACAUGCAUAAACAUUUCUUAGUUAAAUAUUUGGUCAAAAUUUGGUAAAAAUUAUAAGGGGACCAAUAAACCAGGACGGAGGUAGUACGUCAAUCACACACGGUUGGCUCUAGCAAACCGUCGCCUCCAAAAUUCUUUGUGGGACAGAAAACCCUCACCAACCAAUUCAAAAAAGAAAAAAGAAAACCCUCACCAUCCCCACGUCACAAAAACCCUCACCCCGCUCGCCACCCCCUCUGGUCCCCAUUCACACCUGCACAAGCCCCUCCGCAUCUAUGCAUGGUACCGCCUAUCGCGGCUCGCGGCGGUAAACACUUAGCUCGCCGCCCGCCGGCAAAGCCCACCGCAUUUCGCCACUUCCGCUUGCCGCCGCCUAUCACCAUCGACUUUUUCGACGCUGCUCGCGGUCGACCCAGCUCCGCUCGGUUAGGGAAUCUGCCGUACCGAGGGUUCUUUCUCAUGGACAACAAGGUAACUAAUUUAAUGAGAUAUUAUCUCAUCUCUUAUCCCAGUUCAUCUGCCUCCUUUAAUCACCCGGCCGAAAUCGCCGUGAAUUCAUUUUUAUUCGAGCUGAUUUGAGGGUUUUCUUCCGUUCAUAGAGUGUACAGUGUGCGGACACAUCAGGACCUUACGGCCUCCGCCAGACAUUCCAUCUCACCAUACUAGAUGACUUGAGGAUGUGCGCGGUAUGUUCAAUCUCACCCUAAAUCAGCUGGCAUGGCCUACUUUCCGGAACAUAUUCUAAAUAUUACUACAUUUGGAUAAAAGGUGCCACAUGCACCGUAUACGUCAAAGGGGAUUUUCCCCUCUUCUUUCUAUAUUAGGCAAAUUAAUGAUUCGAUGACUCUCAUAUUUCCAUAACAUCAUGUUUACCCUAUCUGUUUAAUUAUAAAUUUUUGUCCUUCAAUUUCAACUGUCGUACAGUUCUUUCAAUUUGGGCCCAUAUUUGCAUGUUACCAUAUUUUCUUUAACAAUCCUACCAUUUUCUGCAGCGCGUCCCUUGCUAUGCAACAGAAUAUGUAGUGUACAAUCUUUCCCUUUACAUAAAUCAAGACUGCAGGGAUGUCGUACUGCACACAAACCAUGGAUUUACAAUCGUUGCUACUGUAAGACUUGAUGAACGUGGUGACUCCUAUUUUGGCACUGGCUUUUGGAAAGAAAUUUCUAAGUUUUAUGAACUGAAAGCUGGCACUAUAAUUGCACUGCACAUAACAAGGCCUGGUCAUGAGAUAUAUGGUAACUUCCCCGAUGAUAUCAUCUGUCCAGACUUUGUUCAAAAUAAGUUUUCUUUUCAACUAUCUGCAUGUUGACUUACCCAGCAAUAUCAAAUGAAUUGUGUAGUAUUUAAGCAACAAACUAUUAUUCCCUUUUCUUACUAUAUUCCUACCUAAUAACUUCUAGUUACCAAUACACUUUUCUAUUUCCCUGUUUUAACUAAAUAUUCCCUGUACUCCCAUUUCUAUCAGAAAGCACCGAUGACAAGGAGACUCCAAAGGUGGAGAACGGGGCUGCCAACAAGCGAAGGCGGGGCGAGCUAGAACCGCAAGCGACUCCAGCAGGCCUAUACUUCAUCAGCAGCCUCCCCGAUGAUAUGUUGACAGUCAUCAUCUCCCUCCUCCCAAUGAAAUAUGGGGCGCAGACAACCGUCCUUUCCCAGCGGUGGUGCCCCCUAUGGAACUCCAGCCCUCUUGACCUCAUCGACACCCACGAGCUCUGCCAUGGCUAUCGCAAAAGCUUGGAUGCGUUCUCCAAGAUCCUCGACAGUCACCUUGGCCCAACCAGAGGCCUUAGAAUGGGCAAGUUCCGUUCCAACGGCAAGGACCGAGCCAAGCUUGACGACUGGUUCCGAUCCCCCGCCCUAGAUCAGCUUGAGGAGCUCACUUUUGAUGAUGGGCAUAUGCGGUCGCUGCCAACGUCCGCACUCUGCCUCGCGCCCACGCUGCGCGUCGCCAAGUUCAGGAACUGCCAUCCCCCCCUUAAUGAUGCACCCGCUCUUAUUCUACCACGACUAAAGCACCUCGAGCUCGUCGCCGUCUGCCUCUCAAACGGUGACAUGGAGCGCCUGCUCCGUGGCUAUACUGCACUUGAGUACCUUUGUCUUCAGGCGAUCAAUGGGUUGAGUACCUUCCACAUCACCUCCAUGACUCUCCGGACUAUUUAUGUGUGUUGCUAGUGCGUCAGGUAGACAUCACAAGAUGUGUACCACGGUAUGGUCAUUGAGGAGACACCUGCACUUGAGAGAUUACUUGUAGUUGAUCAAGAAGUUCCAACAAGAAUCAAUGUCAUUUCUGUGCCGAAAUUGACAGUGGUGGGCUACUCGUUUGACAAACACUCCGAACUUGUUAUUGGAUCCACACCCGUUCAGGUACAACAACCGCCUUCUACCUCUCCUUCUACAAAUUAACAUUAUUUCUAAUUUUGAAGAUGUUUGUUCGUCUGUCACUCAGAAAAUGAUUCUGACAAGCUUGACCCCGAAACUGUGCACAGUGAAGGUCUUGGCACUAGAAUCUAUCGGCCCCAACCUGGAGUAAGUUGUCAGUUUCCUGAGAUGCUUUCCGUGCCUGGAGAAGCUAUAUAUCGAGGUGAUGUUCCUUUCCUGUUAAAUGUUAAUCAUAAGGGAGUUCAAUUUGUGAUAUCUUUUUCCAAGUUUACAAUGACAAUGUACUAUGAUUUCUGAAGGAUUCUUUUGGAGGAUUUCAGUACAUACAUGUUCCCCCCCAUAUUGGCUGCUUGAUCCAUAUGGUUACAAUCAAUAAGCAUUUCUCCUUUGGAUUCAUCUAUACUAGUUUUCUUAGGGAACUUUUCAUCCACUCCAACCUCUUGUGAAGAAGGCUACAUUUUUCUAGAAUGUAAUCAAAUGCCCAUGUUAAUCAUGUCAGAUCGAAGAUGGCAUGUUAGUGCAUUUUACAAAUCCUGCAAACCAAAUAGGCCUGUAGUAAUGUUCAAAACUGCAUGUAGGCACUAACACGUUUUCUUCUUUUGCAGAUAAGAUUAGGCCCAAUGGUGGAUAAUGUGAUACAAUAUAACAAUCACGUCGAAUGCCUAGAUCUGUAUCUCUCAGAAAUUACUUUGAACUCCUACCGAGGGACCUUACCGGAGAUUAUAUUCGCCAUGUUCCUUGUUCUCAGAGCAAGGGUGCUGAAGGAAAUGAGGUUUUCCCUACAUUUAUUUCGCAAAAAUGAAUGGUUUGUUGAUCAGCGCCGGCUCCUGCGGCAGAAUGGAAUAGGCUCCAAAAAUGUUGAAUUUCAUUUUGGAACUUCAGAUGACAGGGUAACCGGAAGUCAUCGUGUCAACCCCAUACAUGACUUCUCAGUGGCUAACCCUGAUACGUCUCCGUCAUAUCUAUAAUUUUUUAUUGUUUCAUGCCAAUAUUCUAUAACUUUUACAUACUUUUGGCAACUUUUUAUACUAUUUUUGGGACUAACAUAUUGAUCCAGUGCCUAGUGCCAGUUCCUGUUUGUUGCAUGUUUUUUGUUUCACAGAAAAUCCAUAUCAAACGGAGUCCAAACAGGAUAAAAACUGACGGAGAUUAUUAUUGGAAUAUAUGUGAUUUUUGGGAAGAAGAAUCAACGCGAGACGAUGCCCGAGGGGACCACGAGGCAGGGGGCGCGCCCCAGGGGGUCAGGCGCGCCCUGGGCCCUCGUGGCCACCCCGUAAGGCGAUUGGUGCCCUUCUUUCGCCGCAAGAAAGCUAAUAUCCGGAUAGAAAUCGUGUUCAAAUUUCAGCCCAAUCGGAGUUACGUAUCUUCGGGGAUAUAAGAAACGGUGAAAGGGCAGAAUCGGAGAACGUAGAAACAGAGAGACAGAUCCAAUCUCGGAGGGGCUCUCGCCCCUCCCAUGCCAUGGAAGCCAAGGACCAGAGGGGAAACCCUUCUCCCAUCUAGGGAGAAGGUCAAGGAAGAAGAAGAAGAAGGGGGGCUCUCUCCCCCUCUCUCCCGGUGGCGCCGGAACACCGUCGGGGCCAUCAUCAUCACCGUAAUCUACACCAACACCUCCGUCAUCUUCACCAACAUCUUCAUCACCUUCCCCCAUCUAUCUACAGCGGUCCACUCUCCCGCAACCCGCUGUACCCUCUACUCGAACAUGGUGCUUUAUGCUUUAUAUUAUUAUCCAAUGAUGUGUUGCCAUCCUACGAUGUCUGAGUAGAUUUUCGUUGUCCUAUCGGUAAUUGGUGAAUUGCUAUGAUUGGUUUAAUUUGCUUGUGGUUAUGUUGCUGUCCUUUGGUGCCCAUCAUAUGAGCGCGCGCGUGGAUCACACCAUAGGGUUAGUUGUAUGUUGACAGGACUAUGUAUUGGAGGGCAAGAGUGACAGAAGCUUCAACCUAGCAUAGAAAUUGAUGCAUACGGGAUUGAAGGGGGGCCAAUAUAUCUUAAUGCUAUGGUUGGGUUUUACCUUAAUGAACGUUAGUAGUUGCAGAUGCUUGCUAAUAGUUCCAAUCAUAAGUGCAUAGAAUUCCAAGUCAGGGAUGACAUGCUAGCAGUGGCCUCUCCCACAUAAAACUUGCUAUCGGUCUAGUAACGUAGUCAAUUGCUUAGGGACAAUUCCACAACUCCUACCACCACUUUUCCACACUCGCUAUACUAACUUUAUUGCUUCUUUACCUAAACAGCCCCUAGUUUUUAUUUACGUGCUCUUUAUAUUCUUGCAAACCUAUCCAACAACACCUACAAAGUACUUCUAGUUUCAUACUUGUUUUAGGUAAAACGAACAUUAAGCGUGCGUAGAGUUGUAUCGGUGGUCGAUAGAACUUGAGGGAAUGUUUGUUCUACCUUUAGCUCCUCGUUGGGUUCGACACUCUUACUUAUCGAAAGAGGCUACAAUUGAUCCCCUACACUUGUGGGUUAUCAAGACCUUUUUCUGGCACCGUUGCCGGGGAGUUAUAGCGUGGGGUGAAUAUUCUCGUGUGUGCUUGUUUGCUUUAUCACUAAGUAGUUUUUAUUUUCUGUUCUAAGUUGUUCUCUAUCUUUAGUUAUGGAUAUGGAACACGAAAUACCAAAAAAAUUAGGUCUACUUGCUCCUCAUGGAGAUGGGGAACCUCCUAAAACCCUCGAUGCUCAUUAUGUGAAGGAUAUUAUGUACUACUUUGAUAAUCCUGAGAAAACCCCAUUCAACUUUAUAAUGGGAGUAACGUUGGAUCAACGUGAAUACUUUAGGGAUUAUCGCUUGACUCAAAAAGGGAAACUAUUAUGGGAUCAAAUUCAUAUGUUGCAUUGGUAUGCUCGGCAACUAUGCUUGAGAUAUGCUUAUACUUGUUGCUCUAGGAUGAAGGCUCCACACCUUCCCUUUUCAUGCAAAUUUAAUGAUAAUGAAACCUUAGCUUCUUAUGCUAAUGGUAUAUAUGAUUACUAUGAUGUGGAACAAAUAGAAGAAUUUGUUGCUUUUAAGGGUGCUUGUGAAAUUGAAUCUUUGUUUAAAGAGUUUGAAGAUUUUGAUGAUUCAGUUUAUAGACCUGAAAAUUUAGCUAUCCUUAAAUAUGCUACGAGAAUUAUAAAUACAAUUAUGAUAUUGAUGAAUUCAUUGAGAAAGUCUCUGUUGUCCAGGAAGAGACUAAUAUUUUGUAGGAGUCUAUGGAAGAAGGAAUUGAUGAAACUGUGGGCUCAUUGGAUGAAAAAGAUGACGAGGAGAGCAAAGAACAAAAGGAGGAAGAGCAGAUUAGCUACCCGUGCCCACCUUCUAAUGAGAGUAACUCUUCAACUCAUACAUUGUUUAAUUUCCCUUCGUGCUUACCGAAGGAUGAUUGCUAUGAUGAUUGUUCUGAUCCUGCUGAUUCUUUUGAAAAAUCCCUUUUUGAUGAUGCUUGCUAUGAUUGUGGCCAAGAUGCCAAUAUGAAUUAUUCUUAUGGAGAUGAAGUUGCUAUAGUUCCUUAUGUUAAACAUGAAAUUGUUGCUAUUGCACCCACGCAUGAUAGUCCUAUUAUCUUUUUGAAUUCUCUCGACUACACUAUAUCGGAGAAGUUUGCCCUUAUUAAGGAUUAUAUCGAUGGGUUGCGUUUUACUACUACACAUGAUGAUUUUGAUAGAUAUAAUAUGCAUGUUCUUGCUGCUCCUACUUGCAAUUAUUAUGAGAGAGGAACUACAUCUCCACCUCUCUAUGUUUCCAACAUGAUAAAAUUGCAAGAAACUGUUUAUGCUAUGCAUUGGCCUUUACUAUGUGUGCACGAAUUGUUCUUUUAUGACAUGCCGAUGCAUAGGAAGAGAGUUAGACUUCGUCAUUACAUGAUAUAUGUUAUUUUGUGUUCACUAGUAAAUUACAAAUCAUUGUUAAUUAAAAUUGGCUUUGAUAAACCUUGGGACCCGGGUGGAUCCAUUACUUGAGCACUAUAUGCCUAGCUUAAUGGCUUUAAAGAAAGCGCUGCCAGGGAGACAACCCGGAAGUUUUAGAGAGUCAUUUAUUUCUGUUGUGUGCUUUUAUAAACUUUAGAAAUAAAAAUAAUGUGCCAAGAUUUUCCUUUAGGAUGUUUACAUUGCUUGUUGGUUUUUGCGGUGCAAAACUGAAACUUUGUCUGUAGUGUGCGAUUUUUCAUUUUUUACUGGAACGUCAAAUGGGUCUGAAACAUUUUGCACUGUAUUUCUAUACAAAUUGUUUAUUUUUUAUAAUUUUUUCAGAAUUUUUGGAGUACCAGAAGUAUGGUGAAUGUCCAGAUUACUACAGACUGUCCUGUUUAAGAAAGAUUCUGUUUUUGAUGCAUUGUUUGCUUGUUUUGAUGAAACUAUCGAUUUCUAUCAGUGGAUUAAGCCAUGGAAAAUUUAUAUUAUAGUAGCUACAAUGCAAAAACAAAAUAUGAAUUGGUUUACAAUAGUACUUAGAGUAGUGAUUUGCUUUAUUAUACUAACGAAUCUUGCCGAGCUUUCUGUUGAGUUUUGUGUGGAUGAAGUGUUCGAAGAUCGAGGAUGUCUCGAUGUGAGGAGAAGGAGGAGAGGCAAGAGCUCAAUAUUGGGGAUGCCCAAGGCAGCCCAAGUAAAUAUUCAAGGAGACUCAAGCGUCUAAGCUUGGGGAUGCCCCGGAAGGCAUCCCAUCUUUCUUCAACAAGUAUCGGUAUGUUUUCGGAUUCGUUUGUUUCAUGCGAUAUGUGCAAAUCUUGGAGCGUCUUGUGCAUUAGGUUUUCACUUUUAUUUUAUGCACCAUGCUGGUAUGAGAUAGUCCAUGGUUGAUUUAUAGAAUGCUCAUUGCACUUCACUUAAAUCUUUUGAGUAUAGCUUUAUAGGACGCUUCAUGUGCUUCACUUAUAUCAUUUGAAGUUUGGAUUGCCUGUUUCUCUUCACAUAGAAAACCGCCAUUUGUAGAAUUCUCAGCGGAUCAGCACGAGCGUUUGCAGCUGAUGAGCUGAAUUUCAUUUCUAAUAUCAGUUUGAACCUUGUAAUCUUCGAAUUUGAGCCAUAUAACUCUGGAAUUUGAACCUUGUAAUAUUUCGAGCUUUUGUGGUACAAGCGUUGAAAUGGCAUCGUAUGAGACUCGUAUAUUGGUAGCACUAUUUUGACCUUAAUAUGCAAUGGUCUUAGAUUUUAUUAACCAUUCUCGAAUCUGUUUACCUUGUGGAUCUCAUAGCACACGAUCUGUAUAGCUAACUUGACUGCGAUCUUCGACAUUAUUGCACACAGUUGGUUUCUUCCACCGUGUGCCCUGUAGAGCGCAGAAUUAAUUAUCGCACUCGAGUGUCUAUCAUCAACCUUCUGUGUAACUUUGACCUCAUCACCCACGGGUAAACUUAUGACCGAAGUCAUUCCACACACUUCGUUUUUACAAAGCUUUUUGCCAAUAAACGCCCACGAUUUGUCCCUCUUCUAGCCGACGCAUGGCCAAACUAGCUAGGCGGGAAGCUUGCGCGAUAAACAGCGCGGUAGCGCGGGAACAGGCUCACCGACGAUACAUUUGGCGCCUCUUCGAGCCCACGCGUGCAGUGCGGUGUUUUCAAGCAUGCACUGGAAUCCUCCGCUAUGAACGCCGUGACAAGACGUGACGAUUACAGGCCGGCCGGCCUCCAUUUAUUACAGCGGCCAUUUAACCCUUGUGUCUCUUCAACCUUUCGAUCGCGCCCCAUCAUUACAAGAAGCACACCCACCACGAGAAAUUCUUAGAGGGUAUCCUGCGCGGCUCCAAUGGCGCUCGAGCGGCUGCCGACGACGAGCAGCAGUUCACCAUGCGUGCCAUGGUGGACACCCACAGAAGGUUCAUGUACCUCUCGGUGGUGUACACCAACGACCCGGUCUGGGUGGAGCACUCCAUCCACAUGAUGGAGCUGUUGCUUGCCGAGGAGAAGUACAAGGUGGUCGGGUUCGACCUCGAGUACACCCGCGCUCGUGCCGGGUGCGCCACCACGUCCUCGUCUACCACUACUGCCUGGCCACAAGGCCUUGCGAGCGUUUCGCCAUGUUUGUCAACGGCCCCCAUUACAUGUUCGCUACGGUGGACAUCACCAACUAUGUAAAGGCGCUCGAGAAUUCGGGCAUCGCCUGCCAGAAUCUUGUCGACAUCCAGGGCCAAUACAAGAUCUGGGGCAGCAAGGGGCAUGAGAAGGACUCACUGGUUCACCUCGCCGAGGCCAUCAUCGACCCCUACUACAGAGACAUGAAGGAUUCGUGCAAUAAGGAUAAGCGUGCCUGGCACUCGGCCUGGAUGGAGAAACUCGACAAAGCUCACGUCGUGUACGCGGCCAAGGAGGCGUACACGAGCUACGACAUGUACAGGUGGAUUGUUUACAUGAGGAAGUGCCUCCUUCCCCAAAACGGCCAGGGAUCCAGCCGGAAGCAGAGCAAUGACAAACGUCGUCGCAAUAAUAAGUAGAUGAUUAGAUCCUCGUUUAUCCUACUUUAGUAUGCAUAUAAUCGCUUACUUUGGUGUGUGGAAAUGUUAUGUGUGUAGUCACUUGUGUAAUUGUAUGCUUAAUUUGGUUAUGCAAUGUUGUCUUUUUAAGUAUAUAUGUUGAUGCUCUGUAGACAAAGCGUAGAUGUUGUGCGGACAAAGAAAAUCACAUCGCACACGGACUAAACAAUGGAACCCGUCGGUGAUGUUUUCAUCAAUCACUCACAAUUGUAUACCAGCAAUCGUUUGCUCACAACACAAACGGCUUGUUAGUAGUAAUCGUCUGUGUUGUUAUCAGUCUUCGCACACGUUUCCGAUUACAGACCUGUUUGCCGCGUAUCACACACAUCUUGUUAAGUUGAACCAUUUAUGUUCUCUUGUCUCAACACAAACAGUUCAUCCGAGUGAACCGCAUGCCGUAUAUCGCACACACCUUGAUCUGGCUGACCAUUUCUUUUGUGUUGCCUAAUCACAAACAGUUCAUCCGAGUGAACCGUAUGCUGUAUAUCGCAUACACAUUCAUUUGGCUGCCCGUUUCUUUUGUUCCUCCUCAUCGCAAACAGUUAAUUGAACUGAACCGUAUGCCCUGCAUCGCACACGCAACUAAAGUCUGAACCGUGUUUGAUGCAUCCUCCAUCGCAAACGUUCACCUUUUUUGACGUUUUUUACACCAUCGUUUGCGAUUAUUGCAUCGCACAUAGUUUCGUCAAAGGGUCUCUGAUCGUAGUGUCGCGUUAGCAGCAUCCUGCAGUAGUGUUUAUAAUAUUUUAUAUCAUUUGUGGGACUAACCUAUUAACUCGGUGCCCAGUGCCAGUUGUUGUUUUCUGCUUGUUUUUGGCUUUUCAAAAAAUCAAAACCAAACGAAGUCCAAAUACGAUGAAACUUUACGGUGAUUUUUUAUGGACCAGAGGGGACCCUAGAAGGUUCAGGAGGUGGCCCGAAGAGAUAUGAGAGGGCCACGAGCUCACAGGGCGCGCCUCCUGAGCUCGUGGCCCCACACAACUCCCUUUGACCUAAUUCCAACUCUAUAAAUUCUCAAAUAUUCCUAAACCAACAAAGAGCCACCCGAAACACUUUUUCCGCCGCCGCAAGCUUUUGUUCUUUCGUGAUCCCAUCUGGAGGCCUUUUCCAGUACUCUACCAGAGGGGGAAUCGAUCAUGGAGGGCUUCUACAUCAUCCUUGCUGCCUUCAGAUGAUGCGUGAGUAGUUCACCAUAGACCUAUGGGUCCAUAGCUAGUAGCUAGAUGGCUUCUUCUCUCUCUUUGAUCUUCAAUACAAUGUUCUCCUAGAUCUUCUUGAAGUUCUAUCCGAUGUAAUCUUCUUUUGUGCUGUGUUGGUUGGGAUCCGAUGAAUUGUGGGUUUAUGAUCAGAUUAUUCACUGAAAGUAAUGGAGUCUUUUUUAAAUUUUAUUAUGCAUGAUUUUUAUAGCUGUGUAUUUCUGUCCGAUCUAUCUGUUUGGUUUGGCCAGCUAGAUUGAUUUAUCAUCAAUGGUAGAUGUGCUUUGGAAUGUGUUCAAUCUUGCGGUGUCUUCACCCAGUGGCAGAAGGGGUAGCGAGGCACGUAUUAUAUUGUUGCUAUUAAGGGUAAAACGGCAGGGUUUAUUCAUAUUGAUUGGGUUUACUUUGUCUACGUCAUGUCAUCUUGCUUAAGGCGUUACUCUGUUUGUCAUGAACUUAAUACCAUAGAUGCAUGCUGGAUAGCGGUCGAUUGGUGGAGUAAUAGUAGAUGAAGGCAGGAGUCAGUCUACUUUUCACGGAUGUGAUGCCUAUAUACAUGAUCAUUGCCAUGAACAUGUCAUAAUUAUGCGCUUUUCUAUCAAUUGCCCAACAAUAAUUUGUUUACUCACCGUAUGCUAUGUUCGAGAGAGAAGUCUCUAGUGAAAACUAGCCUCCGGGUCUACUUUUAUCAUAUUAUUAAAACAAAAACAUGUUGCUGCAAUUUAUUUACUUUUGUUUUGUUUUACAAUUUAUCUGUCUAUCUACAUAUACAAGAUUUGAUCCUUGCAAGUAACGAGUUCAAAUGCAUUGACAACCCUCUCGCCCCAAGUUGGGUGCAGUAUUUGCUUUUGUGUGUAGGUGCUGUUGAAGGGAAUUUGCUUGGUUCUUCUAUUGGUUCGAUUACCUUGGUUCUCACUGAGGGAAAUAUACUUAUCUCUAAUGUACGGUUUCAUACCUCCUCUUCGAGGAAAAUCCCAACGCAGUUUACAAGUAGCAAUACUUUUUGUAAUCUUGAAAAUUUAUUUGAAUCUUGUGAUAAAUUUGUUAUUGAUAAAUAUUGUUUGCAAUACCAUUGAGUGUGGGUUUGCAGAGAUUGGGACUUUAGUAAAUGUUAAAUUAGUCCCAUUAUCUUGAAAGUAAUAAAAUAUGUAAGUACGUGGAUUAUGAAGACAAUGUCCUGGGUGAUAGUUAUGAAAUAAAAGAAACGAUACAACAAGGAAAUAUUUUUUUAGUGAAGCUUUCAAUAUAAGAAGAUAGGCCCUGGCGACCAUAGGUUCACUAGUGGCAUCUCUCCAAGCAUACAAGUGUCGUGUGGUGAACAAAUUAUAGUUGGGCAGCGAUUAAAUUGCAAUAUUUGUAUUUAUGACUAUAAUCAUUCAUGGUAUAAUCUCAUAUAGGCACCACGUCCAUAAAAAGUAGACCAUUAUCCAACUGCAUCUACAACUAAUACCCCACCUCAAGACCGCUAUCCAGCAUGCAUAUCAAAAUAUUAAGUUCAUAACAAAUAGAGCAUUGCAAUAAGCAUGUUGACAUAAUAUAGAUAGUAAAAAUAUCAUCCAAGUGUGAUAAAGAAACCAUCUUUCAAUACAAUACAAUACACAACGUGUUUUAUCCCUUUGUCACUGGGAUAUAGAUCACCGCAAGCUAUGAAUCCACUACAAUGUACAACCCCCUCUGAAGAAUUACCCAUCAAACUUGACGAAAGAAGACAAAUAGAUCGAAUAACAUACAAAGUUAUUCUAUUAUAAAGCAAAUAAAACUUCAAAAGAUUCAAUUGCUUUCAAUGAACAAUCUGAUCAUAAAUUGACAAUAUCACAUCCCAAUAAACAUAUUACUAAUUUAUACAAUCUUGUGAGGCAGCUCACGGAAACAUUGUAUUGAAUCACAAGGGACUCACACAUGGUCAUGGAGACAAAAAAUUGACGAAGAAGCCCCCGACAGUGGAUUCUCACUCCGGCAGAAUGUCGAAACAUGCCUCACCUUAGGAUGACCAUAUCCAAACUCGUUGUGGUUGUGUGAACACUAAGACCACUGUCGGUGAGGAGGUAAGAAGGAUAAGAGGCAACACAAAUGAGAUGCCAUAUGUUGAAAUAAAAAACAUAGGCCUAUUGAAUUCUUGAAUCAUGAUUAUUGCUUUAGAGGUAUUGUAUUGGGGCAUGUGAACGAAAGGUCUUUUGCUAGUACAAUAAUACUCUCUCCACCCAAUAAUAUAAGAGCAUUUUGUGUAGUGUCAAAAACGCUCUUAUAUUACGAAAAUGAGGGAAUAUAUAUAUCAAACUAAAAGUAAGUUCAUAAGAGCAUCUCCAACAGCCGCCCAAUGCGCGGCGCGCUAAAGAAGCGUUUGCAGUGCGCCGAUCGGUUGUCUUUGCAUGGCGCAGAGCGCUGGCUCCAGCGGCUGCUGCAAAGUUAGCGCGUGCGAGUAGCUCCAGCAGGCGCUGCAAAAAAAACUGCGCGCGCUCUCUCGCACAAACAACAUAUGCGCUCCAAACACAAGCAAGAAGAUCAACUACAAACAAAAUAAAUCAACAAUAAAUAGUUCAAUUUCGUUAUUACAACUCAAAUAAAUAGUUUAUCUUUGAAUACGACAAAUAGUCAACAAUACAACAUCAAACGCACAAAUCAUGAUGCUCUUUGUCGGCCAUUCCAUGCCCACCACUCCUCGAUGAGAUCCUUCUCAAGAUCAUCAUGCGUUUCGGCACGUCGAAUGGCAUGAUAGGAGGCAACAAAAUGGGCCACCUUGGCAGCCCUCCGCCGCACUCGCACAUGAUGUCUCAAGAGCUCAUAGUGAGAGUAGUCUACAUCUUCCACGCUUAUUCUCGAUGAUCAUGUUGUGCAUGAUCACACAAGCAUGCAUGAUGUACCAAAGCAUCUUUUGAUCCCAAAAUCUAGCCGGUCCUCUCACAAUAGCAAAUUGGGCUUGCGAGAUCCCAAAAGCUCUCUCCACAUCUUUUCUAGCCGCCGCCUGAGCAUUGUGGAAAUCAAGAUUUUUCUUAUCUUCCGGUUUUUUCGAUGGCUUCACAAAUGUUUGCCACUUUGGGUAGAUGCCAUCCGCAAGAUAGUAGCCAUAGUUGUAUGUACAUCCAUUUGCUACAAACUGCACCGGUGGCAGUUCACCAUUUGCAAUCUUAUUCAUCAGUGGUGACCGGUUGACAACGUUGAUGUCAUUCAAAGAUCCAGGCAUUCCAAAAAAAGUAUGCCAAAUCCAAGUCUCUUGAUCGGCCACCGCUUCAAGGAUUAUAGUGGAACCCUUUUUUUGGCCGUGGAAUUGCCCAUGCCAUGCCUUAGGACAAUUCUUCCAACUCCAAUGUAUGCAAUCUAUUGAGCCAAGCAUACCUGGGAAGCCGCGAGCUUUAUUCAUCUCCGAUAGCCUUGCGGCAUCUUCAGCAUUGGGAGAUCUCAAAUACUCCUGGCCAAACACUUGCACAAUUCCGACUGCGAAGCGCUUGGCACACAUGAUGGCUUGACUCUCACCCAUGGCCAAGUGAUCAUCAACUAGAUCAGCAGGAAUACCGUAUGCCAACAUACGCAAAGCGGCUGUCACCUUCUGAAAGGUGCUAUGUUCGAGCUCUCCGGUGGCAUUCCUCCUUUGCUGAAAAAACCGGUCAUGGCUCGCUAGUUUCUCUGCAAUGUGCCUGAACAACUCGGUGCUCAUCCUAAAUCGGCGCCGGAAGUACGACUCGGGGUACACGGGAUUAUCCGCAAAAUAGUGCCUGAUCAAUCUGUUGUGGGCAUCGAUCCUAUCCCUCCAAAUUUUCUGUCGAUCCAUAACCGAACCACCGUGCUUCGUUUUUUUAUUGAUGUGCAUAGCUAGGAUCAUUGCAAGAUCCUUCUCUUCCAUAUCAAGUUCUUCUUCGGAAGAAUCAUAUGACGAACUCAUCUACAAUGUUCAAUUUAAACCAGGCUAUAAAAACUACAAACAACAUGCACCAAAUUCAUGUAAAAAAUGUGAAGUUGAAGCAAUACAUACCUUGCGGGCGUUUUUGUCGAACACCCUGCGGGCGCCGAGCGGCAGUGGGCGGCCGGGCGCUGUUCGUCGGAGGACUGCCGCGCGCGAGGGGCGGUGGUGACUAGAGGGAGACGGAGGAAGCAGCGGCGGCGCGGGGAUAGGCCGAGAAGCGCCGGAACGGUCGCUGAAAAAAAUGGGGUGGCGCGGGCGGCAGCGGCGCCAGCGGCUGGAUGGGGUAGGUGGAGUUGUGAGCGGGCGCUCGAGUGUCCAGCGCGCGGGAGCGGGCGCGGCAAUAAACGACGCGCGAUGGCGUUUCGGCCCGUGCGUUGAACUAGUUGUGCCGCGCGCGGUUUUGCACCUUCGCUGGAGCGCCCGGAGCGGUAGCGCGCGCAAAAAACACUAAUUUUUCAGCGAGACACUUAUAUAGCGCGGCGGUUGGAGAUUAUCGUUUGCGUCGAGAAUGUCGUUUUGGAGGCCGACCUCCAUGGAGCCCUUUAUUUUUGAAAAAUUCAAAUUCAAAAUUUUAUGUUUCAAAAAAUUCAGAAAAAAUUAUGCGUAUAUGUAAGGAUGUAACCCACAUGUGCGUAAAAAUUCAUGAUAAAAUAUCUUGAAUUGCGACCUGUAAAAAAAGACAAAUUCAUGGCAUGAGAGAAUGAAUAGUAUCAUGUGUUAAACAGCCCUAGAUUUGUCUUUUUUGCACAGCCCUCAUUUCAACGUAUUUUACCCUGAAAAUUUACACACAUGUGUGUUAUGCCUUCAUGUAUAGCUGUGUUUUUUUUUCAGAAUUUUUUGAAACGUAAAAAUAUGAAUUUUGAUGAAAUUUGAAUUUUAAAUUUGGAGGCCUCAUUGGAGCUCGGUCACCAAAAGGGAUUUCCAGUUUGCGUCCCCAAAAGAAAAGAUUAUCGUUUGCGGACUGUCAGUGGCACGUGGGCAGCGGGGCUGGUACAGCCGUCUUCCGCCGGCCCUGCACUCGAGCGUGCGCGAAUCUGUCAAUCCCCCAUGCUCCUGAGACCGGCCCUCCCCGUCGCCGUCAGUUCCACUCUCCCACUCUUCUCCCAUCUCGCCGCCGUCCGCCGUCGGUGCUCAAUCGCCGCCACGGGCAUGGCAGGAGUCUCCGCCGCCUCUCCCGCCGCAGCACAGAUCGGCAGCUUCCUCUCCAAGAAGCCCUACGCGCCGCCGUCCUGGGCCUCGCACCUCGCCCUCGCCCCAUCCCACACUUUCUCCCUCGGCCACGUAAGCUUCCCCGUCUCUACCACUGGAAUACCCCUACUUGCUCUAAUGACUAAUUGACGCCUCCCAAGCUGCUUAGAUUGAUUACUCAGUGACUUUAGCCUUUUUUAUUUACUACUGUAGAUAUCGUCUGAAAAAGUAUCAAUCAUGUGUAAUUCAUAGUUUUUUUUUUCGGAUUCCUAACAGUUCCCAACCCCGAUUCACCAAUGGAAUCUGCCAAAUCUGCCGGAGGGCACUGAAGUGUGGAUCAAGGUGCUGCACGAACCACACUAUUCUGUUCAUUUUCUAGUAAGGAUAGAAGAUAGAAUGCUUAGUGGCAUUUGUGUUCUGACAAGGGAGCUUUGGUGACACUGUAGCGGGACGAUCUGUCGGGUAUGCAGCUGAGCGGGAACAAGGUCCGGAAGCUCGAGUUUCUGCUGUCAGAUGCCGUCGCGCAGGGUGCGGACUGUGUUAUCACUGUCGGUGGUAUCCAGAGCAACCAUUGCCGAGCGACGGCAGUGGCUGCCAAGUAUCUCAAUCUUGACUGCUAUUUGAUACUGCGUACUUCCAAGGUAACCUGUGUCCUCUUGAGGUGGAAUUGAUAGAAUACUGUGUCGUAAUGCAGUUGGUUUGACCUGAUUUUGGUUGGACAUUUUCAGCUUCUUGUCGAUCAGGACCCUGGUUUGGUUGGCAAUCUCCUUGUUGAGAGACUGUUGGGCGCGCACAUUGAUCUUGUCUCAAAAGAAGAGUAUGGGAAAAUUGGCAGUGUGGUAUGCUCUUCUCCAUGGUGUAUCCUGUUACUGCUUUGAGCUUUUCAUACCUCUGUCAGCUCAUGUGUAGCCAAAGCGUUGUUUAUACAUGAAUGUUACUCAUUAUCCAUGCUUGAUCAAUUAUCUUUGUUGUCAAAAGAUCAUCCAUCAAGUAGCUCGCGCAGCAGUGUUUUUUUGUACUUACCAGUGUCAUCCUUUUCUUCCAUUGAGAUUAUUUAUGUCACUGCCUGUUCGUUGGUUGCAAGUAGAUAGAAGGCUUUGUAACUGCCCGUUAAUAUUUCUUCAUUGGUUGCUUUUCCUUCUUUCUGAUUCUUUUCGUUAUGUUUGGAGCUUCCGCAUUGGUUACGAGGUUCCUAACCACACAUUGAUUUGUUUUUAUAGGCUUUAGCGGACUUGCUUAAAAAGAGGCUUUUGGAGGAAGGACGGAAGCCAUAUGUGAUUCCUGUUGGUGGAUCCAAUUCACUUGGAACUUGGUAUUAUCUUAUAUUUGAUGCAAACUGUUAAACUACAAUACCAUUUUUCUUAUUUUCCGUGUUUAUAGCAUAAUUUGAUAUUUUUUCUACUAUCAAUGGCUUGGUAUCUCUCUCAGUCCGUUGCGAACAUAGUUAUCGCUAUGUUGAAAUUGACAUUAGUGUCACAAUUUUAUAUGUUUGGGAAUUGUCUAGACACUGAAACUGACGGAUCUCAUUUAAGCAAGAAGGUCUGGGUAACAUAGCAAUACAUCAUAUUGUAGCUAACCACUGGAGCGUAGGAUACUAUGAAUGGUGACUUACUGUGUUCAAUUUGCAAACAUAGGCUAAGGAAAAUGUAGUGUACUAUAUCCAGAAUGUGUAAAAGGGAACAGUUAAGAUUAUAAGAUUAUGUGCUUCUAAAGAGAUGGGUUGGAGUUCAAAUAGGUCUCAUAAAUUUAUGCAAAUGAUAUUCACUUCAGAAUGUCGAUCCUAUGUUUGUAACAUACGUUGCGUCUUCCUUUUAUAGGGGAUAUAUUGAAGCAGUAAGAGAGCUUGAGCAGCAAAUUCAUUUAUCUGGUGAUGUUCAGUUUGAUGACAUUGUUGUUGCCUGCGGCAGGUAUUUCAUCAGCACCUGUUAUUCUGUCCUUUUCUAUGGAGAUAGUUGUGUGUGUGCACUCACUGUUGUGUCAUGCCUGGAUCCCAAAAGUUGUGGCAUUGACACUUCACGGCUUGAUCAUAUUGAGCUUUUUGCAGUGGCGGAACUAUUGCUGGUCUUGCUUUAGGAUCAAAAUUGAGUAGCUUAAAGGCAAAAGUAUGAACUUUCUUUGGUUAUUUUCUUACCCUGUCGAAGUUUAAAUACUAAUUAUCCACUUGUAGGAUAGGUCCAUGCAUUCUCUGUUUGCGAUGACCCUGAAUACUUCUACGAUUAUGUUCAAGGCCUGAUUGAUGGACUACAAUCUGGCUUGGACUCACAUGAUAUAGUCAGCAUUCAAAAUGUGAGUGUAUUUUAUCUUUCAGCAUUACUCCAAAAAUUACAUGCAGUGUGUUGUUCCAUGCACCACAUCCUCUUAUUAUGACCUUGUUUAUGUGCAUAUGACAUAGUUUUUUCAGCAUCUUGUUUGUUCAUUUCUUAUUUUCUUUAGAGUGCUUGUUUGUUCAUUUGAUAGUUCACCUCUGAGGGAAUUCUACUACAGAGUACACUCUAUGCAAGUUGGUCGAAUUUGUGAAUAUUUUGCUUGCUCAACUGCAACUUCUGCUUGACAGGCUAAGGGCUUAGGUUAUGCCAUGAACACAGCUGAGGAGCUUAAGUUUGUUAAAGAUAUAGCUACAGCAACAGGCAUUGUGCUUGAUCCAGUCUACAGGUGCAAUACUUUCCUUCUGUGUGGGAUGUGACAUCUGAUUCGAUAUCAUCUAUGCUAGUUCUUUUGUUAUAAAUAAGAAAUAAGAAAUGUUUUUCUCUGUCAAGUUAAGCCAACAUUAUCAAUCCUUCCAACAAAUUCAAAUUCAUGAAUAGAUCUAACAUUUAUGUUGCUUAAUGAGGAUAUAUGUGCUUUCUUUUUCUUCAGUGGGAAGGGAGCAUAUGCAAUGCUGAAAGACAUGGCUGAUAAUCCAUCCAAGUGGAAAGGGCGAAAAGUCCUCUUUGUCCACACAGGUGGCCUUCUUGGGUUGUAUGACAAGGUUGAUCAGAUGUCAUCUUUGGCUGGGAGCUGGCGAAGAAUGGAUCUUGAAGAAUCAGUCCCACGCAAAGAUGGCACUGGUAAGAUGUUCUGAUUGAUAUGCUCCAGAAACCGCUCCAUUAUGGGCUGGAGUUUCAGAAAUGUCAUUCAUCUUAAGGGUAUAUGCUCUUACAUUUGUAAAAGAAAAUUCAGAAUAGACAGCUAGCAUGGAAUGUUGAUAUACAAGAAUAAAGUGCAUCGUUCUGCCAUUUGAAAAUAAAGCUAUCUGUAUUGCUUAUUUAAAUACCUUCUGUUUCUUUUAUGUCUUAUGUAAUCUUGUGUUUAGUUAGAAAAAUUCAAACUUGGAUAUUCCAGGAGACCUAGUUAGCAGUAGCUGUUUAUGCCCAUUCAUUCUGAUGCUAUACAUCAACUGCCAUGUAUAAGGCCCCAGCUUCCGCUGGGUUUCAGUGAGAAGCAACCAAAAGAAUUUGGUUCAUAAAAGAAACCUUCCACUUUUAGAUGCUCUUCAGAAACUCGAGUAACAAUUCAACUUCAGCGGGCCUGCCUAGUCAUGCACAUAAACGAAAAUGCACCACUGAACAAGUCUGUAGGCAUUUUUUUUCAAAUAGUAUGUAAGAAACAACAGAAAUGUAGUAUAACCAAGAGAUAACAGAGGAGAACACACUGAGAUUGCACUACAAGGAUAGCAAAGGUUCCGAAAAGGCAAAAUAUCACUAUUGUCUUAAAUAGCACCAUUUGCCCGUACGCCGACGGACCAAUGAACACGCAAACUAGGCCAUCAUUCUAGAAGCGACAUCUUCAAGCAAGUGAUCCAUUGGGUCCACGCACCACUGUGACGGGGCAGGUUGCAUUGUUGACGACAUAAUUGCUGACGCUUCCAAGGAGUGCCCUGCAUCAAG
rnacentral:lncRNA from 1 species